ACUGCAGUGUCCCAUACAUCCAAAAAAAUUCAACGUGUUACUGUGAUAGAUUCUGUGACCAGGAACCAGUAGGACAUGUAGACUGCUGCCCAGAUUUUUGGCUGGUUUGUAGCCAUAUGAAUUUACAAAAAACCCCUACAAAAAACCCUUCAUUCAUUUCUCUGCCAUCUAAAAAAGGUAAGUGGUCAAUGUUGCAUCUUUUUCUCUUGUCAUGUACUGCAGCUAAAGCACUGUAUUUUUAAACAUAUUUAGAGUUUACAUUAAGCUUAUUCUAUUUGGUAUAAAUAUGCACACAAUAAGCACUUAAUGGAUGAACAAUAGGUCACAUAGCCUGUUUGCUUGUAGAAUAGUACUGACAGAAAUUAUUAGGUAAGAUAUGAGCAUGUGCGCUGUAUCUACUCAAUGGACUUUGAUCCUGUCUUUACCUUUUAUCUUGAUGUCCUUGCAGAUUUUCUUAAUUGCAUAUUCAAUAGAAGAAAAAAAAAAAAAAAAGAGAAAGAGUCUCAUAUCUCAUAUAUUUAAAUCUCCAACAACUUGUUUGUAAGUCAAUAAAUAAUGUACUGGUGUCUUUGGUAGCAAGCCCAGAUCCAACAGGAGUUCCAGCAGGGCUUUCCCCGACUCAAAGGAAUCCACAAGUAGAUGCAUUUGUGACUUCUAGAACACAAGAAAAAGUGUGCUAGAAAAAUAACAUUUAAAAUGGGACUAAACACUGUAAUUACUAAGUAACCGAAGUGGAUGACCAGAAGUGCAAGUGUAGAACAGAUUAAAACAUAACUUUUCACAUUGUUUAAAAUAAAUAUAUAUGGCUAACAAUUCAUUCAAAACUAUGUAUGUCUUAUAAAUUGUUUUAUAUUGCAUAUAUACCCAAUGAUAAUAUUUAAUUUAAAAAAAAUAAAAGUAUAGACAUAUUCAGUCUAUGGUUAUAUGUUAAUCCGCUCCACAGUUAUCUUUCAGGUCAUGCAAUUCAGUAACAUUUCUCUUCAGCAGCAGGUAACAACUAGAAAAGAAAGUUGUGUUCUCCAUUUUCCUAAAUGGAAUAUACUAGCAAGUUAUGUGGGGUAGAGCACUAUUGCACUCUUAAAAAAAAAACACGAAUUAAGAAGCUUUGAUCCAACAGCAAACUGAUCUAACUGACAUUUGUCAGUAUUUCUUAAAUGAUGGGUUAGGGUGUAGCAUCUGCCAUACCAUUAGCUAAUCAGAGAAAUUAAAAGGAUGUGAAUAGUGGCCAAUCAGGGUCCUGCAAUAUAUAUAUAUCAUAUAAAUGUUCAUAUACAUUUUUCAGUACACUGAUAUGUGCCUUUUUAGUUGGUUGGUUAAGAGAUCAAGCUAGACAAAUUUUGAAAAAGGAAAAACAGAAAAAGUAAAAGAAAAAUCUAAAACAAAAAUAUAUAAAUAUAGAUUUUGUAAACAUUUUUUACCGCUCCUCCUUCCCCCCCCCCCUCUUUUGAUCACUUCUCAAUUAAUUUGUGAAUAAAAUCAACAUUUAGUCACUGUCUUCUAGACAUCAAUCAUCAUUUUUCCUAUCAAUCAGCCACUGCCCCAUGUGUAGAAUCCAGAAUCAUAAAUCAUUGGGCUGGAUUUCCAUUUAGUGAGGUGUUAUUGGGAACAUUCAGUACAAUAGUACAACAACCAAACAUUUUAACUAUUUGAAUAGUAACACAGUGAAAAAUAAACUAAAUAGCAAAUUUUAAUAAAGACUGUAACAACAAUAAAACAGACACUUGGGAAGGAUAUUUGAACAAUGGUUGUAUAUCAUUGACUCUAAAUAAGUAUUAAUUAUAUGAUAUGUGCAGCUUAUAUUGAUAUCCUAAAUGUAUAAAAAAGGUUACCUAUAUACUAUCCAAAAUGCCUACGUUCAUUUAAAUAACAGAAGUUUUUCCUACUGGUGCAAUGAAAGAGAAGAAAAAUUAUGAUGACAGAAUUUAGUCCAUGCUACGCUUUGACUUGUCAAAAAUGUUAUCAGUUAAACAAAAAUCAGAAAUUAAAUUUGGACAGCCAAAAAUGCCCCUUUUUGUAUACUGACCUGAUAAUAUAUUGCCUAGCCUAGUGGCUACGCAAUUACUGACAUUUUUUGUAUAGCCAAUUCUGAGUUGCCAAAAUUAGAUUAUUAUAUAUCUGGAUUAAAAAUAUAGUUGGAGAAGUUUUUUUUGUAAAUUGUAUUGAAGUAAAACAGUCAUAUUAAGAUGAAAAAAAAUAAUUUUUCUAAAAAUGAAAGAUAAACAUCUGUGGGCCAAACACCACCCACUCACCCCUUCCACCCGUGGAAGAACAAAACAUUUGCUCACACAUCCAGUCUGUAGUAUCAGUGGCUGACAUUCAGUGUUGAAAAAAAAAAAAAAAAACCACAGUACCCUAAUAGCUUAUAAUAAUUGCAUAAAAGGCAUUGCAAUUAAAAGCAUUUUAUUUGAAUUUAUUUUUAAUCACUGCCAAUUUAUAGAAUAUUUUCAUAAAUUUGUAUACGACUUUGAAGGAAUAGGUGAGUCACCAAAUGGAUCCUGAAAGUUCUGUGUAUACCUCAUAUCUACCAUAUUUUGUUAACGUACAUUUUCUUAUUGGUAUAAUCAAAGACAAUUGGUUAUUAAUCAAAAUAUCCAUAGAUGUAUAUAGUCUUAGCCAUAUAGAGUAGUAAAUUAACUCUUGACUAAAUAAUAGAAAAAUUAAAUACAUUUUAAAACAUUCACUUUCAAAAAUUUACUUUUAAAUGUUUACUUAAAAUAAAAAAAACUUCAAAAACAAACCAGAAAAUUGUAAAGAAAAUGUCUUCUGAAAAAAGAUAUAGUCACUAACUAUGAAAGAAUAAUUUCGAUAAAACCAGACAUGUGAUGAAGAAAUUCUGACCCAAAAUAUAAAAUAGAAUUAUGUGUAUGGAGCUGGGCAGAAUGACGUAAAUACUAAUAAAGAGGGACUAUAUAUUAAUAGCAAGUAUUAAUAUAUGUAUACCCUCUGUGGUUUCCUCUUCCAUAUGUGAGCAUUCAACAUACAUUAAAACUGCAUUAAGAUUGUUUUGGGGAUCUUGAUUAGCAAGGCCCUGAAAAGGAAGAGGGUCUGCAGGGGACAAUCAUUUUUGUGGCAUUUAUGCUUCCCAGCCAAGAAGAGUUUUUUCUCCCCCAGCUAUCUAACAUUGCCUCAGUUUUCGUCACUAGUUUCCCAUGAUUGUGUUUUAAAAUAAUAUGUUUUGAGGGUCAUAGCUGUGUCCCUAGAUAAGAAAGUGUGACUUUUCUCCAGUCAAAAGGGGUAGCACGCUCGUAGCUCCAUGAGGUGAGCGUGUGUUAGGUUCAUCGACAGUGCUUGUGUUUUAGCAGCAUUGUUCUUAUAGUAUAACACCUGCCCAUAGGUGUGUAGAAGGGGUAGGAAGGAGUCUUUUGGCUUCGCUAGUAAUAAUAGGACAUUGUCCGUGAACAGAGCUAUUUUUAGGGGGCCUUUUGGGGAUGGCACUCCAACUACGGUUCAGUCUGAUUUGAUUUUGUGGAUCAAGGGCUCUAGUGCUAUAAUAAAGAUGAGUGGUGAAAUUUGACAGCCUUGCCGAGUGCCAUUGGUAAGGGAAAAAUGUUGAGAGACAAAGCCAGAGUUUAUCACUGUAGAUGUUGGGAAAGAGUACAUGGUUAGGAGGCCACAUUGAAGUCUGGGUGGGAAGUUAAAGUGAUAUUCUUCAUGUAGCCCCAGUGGAGUCGGUCAAAGGCUUUCUCUGCGUCCAAGGCGAGUACUAGGCCUUGAGUUUUGCCAAGUGUCAUGAAUUCUAGUAUGUCUAAUGCUCAUCUGGUGUUAUCUUUCACCUGGUGGCCUGGGAAAAAUCCUGCCUGCUCAGGGGAAAUAAUCUCAGGAAGUAAUGGACGUAUCCAUAACCUUAACGAACAGCUUUGUGUCUGCGUUUAAUAAAGAUAUUGGGCGAUAGCUGGCACAUGAUACAGUUGGUUUGCCUGGUUUGGGGAUAGUGACUAUAGUGGCUUCUAGCAUUUCGGGUAGUAUACUACCUGUCUCUAGAAUAGAAUUGAAUAGGGCUGUCAAGUGUGGGAGUAGUUGUUCCUGAAAUUUCAAAUAGUAAUGGGUUGAGAAGCCAUCAGGGCCUGAUGCUUUGUGCUUAGGAGUGGCCAUGUACCCUACAGUAAUGUUUCUGCCCAGUUCCUCAAACUGGGUGCCAGAGAGAUAGGGGUGACACACCCAAUCAAGAAAGGCAUGUAUUCCAGUCCAUGUCAGCUGGUGCUGGGUGGGAUCUGAGGAAAGAUUAUACAGCGACUCAUAACAUGCUGCAAACUCAUCAACUAUCAUUUUAGGGUUGGUCACCUUUGUGCCGGUCCCAUCCAGUAGGUAUGAUAUCAUCAUUUGAGAGGAUCUAUCUUUCAGUAUCUUUCAGUUGGGAGGCCAGGAGUUUCUCCACUCUAAUUCCCUAUCUGUAAUAGUCAGUUUUUAGUUUGCAAAGCACUCUCUGUACCUGUUGGAGUUGGUGAACCUCCAGCUCAGAUCUGAUCUUGAGCAUCUGAGUUCUAGUGUUCUUCGUGGGCAAGUUUUUUUUUUUUUUAGUAAUCAAUUUUUAUUUUGCAAAUAGAAUGUACAGUGUUAUAUAACAGUGUGUCACAAACAUACAAAUUGCAUAGGUUCCGCUUGUUAACAGAGUAUAUAGAUCAAUUAGCAGAAUAGAUAAGCAGUGUUACGAAAGGUAUUACAAUAUAAUAUUACAAACAAUUGAACAAAAAUGUGAAAUGUUAUAUUUAAUAAGACCACAAAAAGGUAUUGACAAGGCGAUAAGGUGUAGCGUAAUUAAGACAAUAUUGCUGGUUAAAGCAGUAGGUAAAUAUCACAGUGAGCUCGUGUAAUCAAUAUCACGGGUAAGUCAGAGCUUAAUGUAAAUCGUUUGUUUAGAGUUAUGGAUACAUUGGGUUAGAACGGACGUGAUGGAGCAUGAUUCAGACAAAUCUAGAUGUCUCAAGGAACGGCAUGUGAAGAUGUCUAGAAGGAGCGGCUGGUCAACAAUGGGGGGGAAGAAGAGAGGAGAGGAGCAGUAUUUGUAUUAGAGUUUUGAUGAGGCAGUAUGCCUGGAAGCCAGAAAGUUUAGCCACGGUUUCCAGAGUCUAGAGAAGGUUUGGAAGUUCUUCGAUUGAGCGUAUGUUAUUUCUUCCAUUUGUCUGAUUUUGUUUACCCUAGUUAUCCACUCUCUAAUAGAAGGAAUUUGCCUGUGUUUCCAGUACUUAGGUAUGAGCUGUGUGGCCGCCAUGACCAAAUAACUGAAAAGAGUGGCUGUAUCUCUCUUCAUACCUGGAGGAGCUAGGGAGAACAGAUAAUGUUGCGGUGCGAAUGGAAUGGUAUCAUGAAGCAACAGUUGUGUCAUGGUAUGGAUUCUCUUCCAAUAGGUUACUAUCAGCGGACAUUGCCACCAUAUGUGGGCAUGAUGAGCUGCCUCUUGGUGGCAUCUCCAACAGGCUUCGUGGGCAAGUUUUAUGUUGGUCCUCUACCUCUUUCAGGUCUUUUAAAAGUUUGUUGCUCUUUUCCGACAAUGUGCGUUGUAAUUGAGUAGCUUGUUUGAUCAGAAGGCCCCACAUAACUGCCUUAUGGGUGAGCCAAGUCAUGGAUAGGGUUGUAUCGAGAAACUGCUGCACUGGGCAGAAAAAUAUAUGGAGACUAAUUUUCAAACAGUCCUUUUCACUGAUGAGUGCCAUGCAACCCUGGAUGGUCCAGAUGGAUGGAGUAGUGGAUGGUUGGUGGAUGGCCACCCUGUUCCAACAAAGCUGCGAUGUCAGCAAGGUGGUGGUGGAGUCAUGUUUUGGGCCGGAAUCGUGGGAAGAGAGCUGGUCGGCACCCUUAGGGUCCCCGAAGGUGUAAAGAUGACCUCUGCAAAGUAUGUGGAGUUUCUGACUGACCACUUUCUUCCCUGGUACAGAAGGAAGAACUAUGCUUUCCGUAAUAAAAUCAUCUUCAUGCAUGACAAUGCACCAUCUCAUGCUGCAAAGAAUACCUCUGCAUCAAUGGCUGCUAUGGGGAUAAAAGGAGAGAAAGUCAUGGUGUGGCCUCCAUCCUCCCCUGACCUCAAUCCUAUUGAGAACCUUUGGAGCAUCCUCAAGCAAAAGAUCUAUGAGGGUGGGAGGUAGUUUACAUCCAAACAGCAGCUCUGGGAGGCUAUUCUGACAUCUUGCAAACAAAUUCAAGCAGAAACUGUCCAAAAACUCACAAGUUCAAUGGAUGCAAGACUUGUGAAGCUGCUAUCAAAUAAGGGGUCCUAUGUUAAAGUGUAACGUGACCUGUUAAAAUGUUUAAAAAGUUAAAAUGUUGUUAUAAGUUUGAUUGAAAUAGCUUUUGAUUUCAGAAAAUAUGCUGCAAACACAACAAAUGACAAUUUUCGGUUCUUUACAACUAGUGAUGUCGCGAACAUGAAAUUUUCGGCAAAUGUUCGCGAACCCGCGAACCGGGCGAACCACCAUAGACUUCAAUAGGCAGGCGAAUUUUAAAACACACAGGGACUCCUUCUGGCCACAAUAGUGAUGGAAAAGUUGUUUCAAGGGGACUAACACCUGGACUGUGGCAUGCAAACUCCGAUCCGCGGCUGCAUCUUGCAGCCGCUUAGUAGAUAACUCCCUAAUUCCCACGGUAUUAGAGAGCUAUCUACUAAAAGGCUGAAAGACCUAAAUUGGUCUUUCAGCCACAUUUACUAAUACUAAGUAAAGAUUACUUUGUAUUAGUAAAUUCUGCCCCUACUCACUAUGCAGCGAGUAGGGGCAUGUCUAGUGAGCAGCCAGUGGCUGCUCACUGUAAAAAAAAAAAAAACCUAUUGCCCCCACCCCUGUGCGAUGGGUGGGGGCCAUAAAUAUAAUGAGGGGGGGGACCUACUGUCCUCCACCCCGGCCCCCAACCCUGGGCGGCGGGUGGGGGCCAUAAAGAUGAUGAGGGGGGACCUACUGUCCUCCCCCCGGCCCCCACCCCUGGGCAGCGGGUGGGGGCCAUAAAUAUAUUGAGGGGGGACCUACUGUCCCCGCCCCCACCCCUUAUAAAGCCUUGCCCCGCCCUGCAAUUAGGCUCAGAGCACUCUGAUUGGUGGGUUUAAGCCAUCCAAUCAGAGUGCUCUGUCAGGUAAAUGAAGAGACUGACAGGUAAGUCUCUACAUUUACCUGUCACAGCACUCUGAUUGGUUGGUUUGAAAUCCACCAGAGUGCUCUGUGUCAUUUUACACAGCGUGUGAAAGUUCUUUGGAAUUUUCCCACGCUGUGUAAUUUGACUCAUAACUCUGAUUGGUUACUUUCAAUCCACCAAUCAGAGUGUUGUUAUGAGUCAAAUUUGGAAUUUUCCCACGCUGUGUAAUUUGACUGUGUAAUAAAAAACCAUAAUAACCGACGCAAUAAAAAAAAAAAAAAAAAAAAGCGCAAAAAAAAUAAUCAAUCUUCACCCGGCAAGGGCUCUGCGCAGACUGAGCUUUGCAGGGCGGGGAAGGCUUAUAAAGCGUUGCCCCGCCCUGCAAUUAGGCUCAGAGCACUCUGAUUGGUGGAUUUCAAACCAACCAAUCAGAGUGCUGUGACAGGUAAAUGUAGAGACUUACCUGUCAGUCUUUUUUUUUUUUUUGCCUCGGUUAUUAUGGUUUUUUAUUACACAGUCAAAUUACACAGCGUGGGAAAAUUCCAAAUUCCAUCUGACAUUUUAGCUGUGAAUGUCAUAAUACUGUGACAAAAAUGCACAUAUUUGUAAUCAGCGAUGUCUUACGAGUACAACAAUACCCCCCAUUAACAUGUUUUAUGGUAUUUUGGAAACUUACAGGGUCAAAUAUAGAACGUUCCAUUUUCAAAUUGAAAUUUGCCAGAUUAGUAAUAUUACCUUUGAGACAGUGUGGUAGCCCAGGAAUGAGAAUUACCCCAUAAUGGCAUACCAUUUGAAAAAGUAGAUAACCCAAGGUAUUGAAAAUGGGGUAUGUUUAGUCUUUUUUAGUAGCCAUUUAGUCACAAACACUGGCCAAAGUUAGCGUUCAUAUUUGUUUUUGUGUGAAAAAAAGCAAAAAACUAAUAUUUGGCCAGUGUUUGUGACUAAAUGGCUACUAAGAAAUACUGGACAUACCCCACUUGCAAUACCUUGGGUUGUCUACUUUUGCACAUGGUAUGCCAUCAUGGGGAUAAUUCUCAUUCCUAGGCUACCAUACGCUCUCAAAGGCAACAUAACCAAUCUGGCAAAUUUCAAUGUAAAAAAAAAUGAAAUGGAAGCCUUAUAUGUGACUCUCUAACUUUCCAAAACACCAUAAAACCUGUACAUUGGGGUACUGUUAUUCUCGGGAGACUAAACACAAAUAUUAGUGUUUUAAAACAGUGAAACAUAUUACAACAAUAAUAUAUUCCAUCAAAGUGCCAUUCGUUUGUAAAAAAUGCAAAAAUCGUCACUUUUACUUAAAAUAUAUCAUCAUUGUAAUACAAUUUACCAGUUUGAAACACUAAUAUUUGAGUUCAGCGAAGUCUCCCGAGUAAAACAGUACCCCCUAUGUACAGGUUUUAUGGUGUCAUGGAGAGUUACAGGGUCAAAUAUAGUGCUCGCAAAUUAAAUUCUCUGCACUUUCUCCCUGUGUUGUCAGGCAUGUCAAUCAAAUGUUAAUUAAUCAAAUCACAUAAUUAUGUUAAAAGAUUAAAUAUACAUGUAGAAUUUUAAUAUUGUGAUCCUUGUCUGCAGUUAGCAUGGUCCUUUUGGGUACAAACAUGCCCAGUCUUUAAAAGGAACUUAAUUCCAAGCACUUUAUUUGUAAAUCCACACAGGAGACAGCAGUAGAUGAAAACAACAAUAAUGUAACAAAAUCCCUAUAAACAAAAACCUAGCUUGUCUGAGCACUAACUAACAUCAGAUCCCCUAUCUCUCAGGGUUAAGCUAUAACAAAAUAAUAUUGGUUUCACCAACCUAGUGUCUUUGUCAGCUCUCAGUACUCCAGUGUUUAGUCAGCCUGCUGCUGCCAGCUCUUCAAGAGAGAAAACAAACAUUCUCCCCUUACCUGCCUAGCAGGGAGGGGUUUAUUCCCACUGCUGCAGCUGAUUACCUGCAGCUGAGCAGUGGGUUGGAGACAGUCCAAAAACCCUGGCCUGGAUCUAUGUCUCCCAAGAAAACCGCUAAACUGCGUAGUGGAGCACUGGCCCACCCUGCUCUCCAAAUGCUCCACCCCAGGGGCCCAUAACUAAAUAUUAAUUUUGGUUAUAUACACACUGUAACACACACUCCCCCUGGGGUUAAAAAUCAUAUGCCUCUCUGAACAAUUCAGUUGAAAUAUAAACUCCCUCACAGACCACCCCAUUCACCUUAUCACAUAUCCCCCUCCCCAGCUCAGACCCAUCGGGGCGAGCGGCCCGGGACUAUAGACAGUGAACUCACGAGAGGCCAUCUGCAUUAUCUUGUGCAGUUCCGGCCCUGUGAGUAAUAUUAAACUGGUAAGGCUGAAGACUUAGGAACCAUCUAGUCAUCAUGGCAUUUUUUUCUUUGUUUUGCCUCAUCCACGUUAAAGGAGCAUGGUCCGUGAUCAGUGUAAAUCGUCUCCCCAGUAAGUUAUAUCUCAGGGAUUCUAAUGCACAUUUUAUUGCAAGUGAUUCCUUUUCCACUACGGAGUACCUCUGUUCAUGGGGAUUCAUUUUCCGGCUCAGAUACAUGACAGGAUAUUUGUAUUUUAUAUAUAGAUAGAGAUAUAUAGAAUGUCAUUCUAAGUGUAUUUUGUUACAUAUAUAUAUAUAUAUAUAUAUAUAUAUAUAUUAAUAACAAAAUACAGUUAGAAUGAAAUUACAUAUGAAUAUAUAAUUUAUAUAAAAUUUAGUUUCAAUAUUCUAUUUAUUUAUUAUUGUAAUUAUACGUGUAUAUAUAUAUAUAUAUAUAUAUAUAUAUAUAUACUAUAUGUAUAUAUAUAUAUUAUAUAUAUAUAUGUAACGUCAUUCUAAGUGUAUUUUAAUUAUAUAUAUAUAUAUAAAUACAUUUCUAUUUUAAUUUUACACGUCUAAUAUUUUUUUUUUAUACUUCCCACCAGCAGGGGUACUGUCUGAUAUUUUAGAAAGUCACCCUGCUGGCAGAUCCCCAGCCAGCUAUAGGGGGCCAUGUGGUCGCUCUUUGAGAGCGAUCACAUGGUCCCCGGGGGGCCUCAUUUGCCGGGGGAGGGCUGUCUGGGCUAUCAGGCAGCCCUCCAGAAGAGGAAAGAAAGCCAUUACGGCGUUCUAUGCCGCCGCAACGGCUUUAAAGCCCUUUUAAUGCGGGACGGUAUAGAAUGCCGUAACGGCAUUUAGGGGUUGAUAAAAUUUGAAUUAUACUCUUAAUAUUCUAUUUCCAUGCCAAAGGCAUCGGGUUUUCUAUUAGGAAUGAAUGUGAGUCCUUUUUCAAAACAGAAAGGUGAUCAAUGGUGAGAGUUUUAUCCGAAAAAUUGAACUCUACGGACGUGUUCUCUGGGUUGGAGGUCUCCCUGAUGUAUUUGUGUAACGAGUUACCCUUCUGUCCUCGCCUGAAGGGUCUUUUCUUCUUGUAUCCCUCUUUUCUUUUGGCAUAUCCGGAGGCUCUUUGGAUGCUGCACCUCUCUAAAAAAGGAAUGGUUUGUGUCUUGGAUGUGUCUAAAGUUUCUGCAUCAGAGGCAGAUUCGCCCGAGCUGACGUCAAUAGUCUGGAACUACGGUUUCGUGAUCCGUUGUCUAAAUCUCGGUGGGAGGCUUCUGUUGUUAGUGUCAGUGCCACUCAACCACCUGUACACCCGGUGAUGUGGGUAGUCAUGAUUUACCUUGCUUAAUUUUUGUUUUCUAAAAUGUAUUAAGUCAUUCUGAUGUUUUUGGAUUUUAUCUUGAAGUUUAAUCAUGAUGUCUUGAGUAGAGGGUGCUUGUAGUAUAGUGACAUUACUGACUUCAAAUUCUUGGAUAGUUUUUUAACUUGGAUUAAUUAUUUUCCCACCUCCUCCACUACUAUGACCAUCCAGUGUAAGGAGCAUUUAUUUGCUUUUUGCAUCCAGCGUCUGCAAAAAUCUGGAUUUUGUCUGCCUAUAGUUGGGUUAUUGCGGACUAGGUAUUCUUUUUGCCCGGUUGUAGCGGAGAGCUGAUUUCCCACAGCUAAACUCCACCAAGUACUUUAAGAGGAUGCAGGAACAAGUAAUAAAUCCAAUAGAAUAUCCAGCACGAUCAGCAACACAAUCCAAUAAUAUCCCACCACUUUCCCCAAUCACUGGACGACACACAGUAUCAGGAGUAGAACUGAACUUUUAAUCACACAACCUUCUUUUAAAGCAUUCUCCCAUGCAAGGGAGGGAUUUACAGUAAUACACAAUACACCAAUCAUACACAAAUUGCCACCCACACAUCCCCUCCCCUUAGUGUGACACAUAAUCCCAUUAUGCAGGACACAGUUCCCCUGGUUUUCUGGAUGUACCCCUAAACCUAGGAGUACCCCUUUAAAUAUUACAUCCCCUGGUAACCCUGAUCUGGGUGCGACACAUAUCCAAAAAUCACCCAGAUCAGAUCAGGGGUUCAGGAGUUAUGGGGGUUUAACGUUUUGUGGAGGUCCCUUUAGGCCCACUGAAGCAUGGCUUUCCAGCCCAAACCAGUUCCAACUAGUCUGGCAGUGUUCCUGGGACAAUGCCCUGCUGGAGAACAAUGGGACAGGAAACGGGGGAGGGGUACACCUUCCUAUACACAAUCUAUAUACAGUCUAAUAGAAGUCCAUACACUGUUACUUAGAGUUUUGUGUACUCCAGUCAUAGGAAAAUCUCUGCAGGGCCAACAAUCAAUAAAAGGGAAUGAGACAGCCAAAAAGGGGUUCUGCUACACCGGUAAUAAUCCGAGAUAAACACUCCAUGGAGAUCUAAGUCGAUUUAAUUUAAUAAGAUCAUUGUACAGCUCUUUAGCGGUAUUAGUGUUUGCAAGGUCCUUAGUAGUACGGGGCCACAGUACAGCUGUCGCUUGUUCUUCAGUUAUGCUAAGAGUUUCUGCUGUUUCAGCUAGGGCUCCUGAUCUUGCCAGAAAAUCUUCCAUCUUGAAGAUAACUUGAAAAAGAUAUAGCAGGACAAAUACUUGUUAAAAAUAAGUAUUUCAAUUUAAUGGGGUGCUCAAGAGGGUGUAACGCUCACCCAAUAUAUAAUAAAUGAAUAGCUUGGCACUCUCCUUACUGGUAUUGUGAAUAUAUCUGCCUGGGUGCCAUCCACAGUGCGUCCAAUAUAUAAACAAAGAAAGAUCCAGGAUGCACUUGCAGGACUUUGCCAAAAAUACUGUGAUUUAUUUAAGUGAUGUGCAUACAGCAAACAAAAAACGACGUUUCGACCCCUGUGCUAAAGAGCUGUACAAUGAUCUUGUUAAAUUAAAAUGAUGUGAAAUCGACUUAGACCUCCAUGGAGUGUUUAUCUUGGAUUAUUACCGGGCAAAAAGAAUACCUAGGGGCUUUAGAGUCAAAGUAAAGAUUGUUUAUAGUUACUUGUACAAGUACUCAGUAACAAAAACACACACUGUGAUAUACUUAAGUAAAUGAUAAUGACUAUAUAUCACUUAACCAGCCAUACAAUGAAUGUACAUAUUCAAUUGCACACAAACCCAAACUCAAACAUAUAAUCCACAAACCCUAUUAAAAUCCAACAAACAUAUAUUUACAUAUAAAGAAGUAUACACACACAGAUGUGAUAACAUUUACACAUUUCUAGUACACUAUGAAAUACUUUUCUAUAAAUUUCAAAAGACCUGAUUGUGAUUUAGAUUCUUUGUGCCCUUUGCUCUCUCUGCUUAUAUGACAAUUCAUGGGUUUUAAUAGGACAUUGGACUGAUAUGAUGUUUUGGUUUCAUAAAAUGAAGUAAGCUGGAGUGUGGAGAAGUAAUACUCUCCCAAAUUGUAAAAUUGUAAAAAAAAUCAACCCAGUUUUGCAGCUGACAAUGGAGGGAGGGUUAAAUAGAAAUCUGGAAAAAAAACAACCUUUGAUACAAAUAACUGGUUAACUAAGUUAUCCCUUGUAGAUUAAAAAGGAGAAGGAAGGAGAAAGAAAUUUAAAAAAAAAUAAAAAAUUAUGCCAAACAGUGCUGGAAAGGCUAUGAAGGAUUGACUCACCGUCUUUUUUUAUUGCUGUCUGUAUUCUUUGUCUUGUUUUUUUUUUUAUAUACUAAUGUUUUAUACAGUAUUGUGUUGUGUGUAUGAUGUACAAGUUUGUAUAAGAAAUAAAUAAAAAAUAAAAAAUAAAUGAAAAAAAAUGAAGUAAGCUAAAGAAGAAAUAAAAUAUAUAUAUACCUGUAUAUAAAAAAUAAGUUGUUGGGGGGCGGAGCCUGACCAGCAUCCUGACCGCACGCAUGGUUGCAGAGCUCCCGCGGCCAAAACUGGAAAACCGCUGAAUAUUCGGCAAAAACAGCUCCCACCUUCACAAGACGACCCUACCUGAGCUCAGUGUGCCCCACUGAACAACCGGAUACCUGUCUUGAGAGAAUCGGUGCACGGAGCCCAACGAUGCAUGAAUGCGGCCUGUGGGAACCGGGAAGAGACGGCCGCUUUCCCCGUCCUCUCGCUAGCAGCCCGGGAGGCAUAACGCUCCCCCCCCCCCGGAUCGGUGGGGGUUAUCCCGAUCCAACCCUGGGAGAAAGCCUGGCUACCCAGGAGACAAGCGACGAACCCACACAGCACGCCUGCAGCACAAGAGCAGGGAAUAAUGGCAGACGCCAAGCGCACAAAUCAUGAGCUAACAUGGGACUGUCCAGGCCCAAACAAAAUGGCGACACGGACACAGCCUACCACAAAACGCACACUAAUCAAGCCUCCUAAGCAAUCACAGGAGUUCUACGAGCGGAUCUACACCAGCUUUUGGUCAAAGCUCCAUGCCCAGAGACGAACCUUUAAGAUGGCGAUAAGAGCGGUGGCGGCAUGGAUCCGCCCGGCAGUCCGACGCCGUUUGAACGGGUAUCCCUCUCGUACCUCCAGGGAACCUCCCCGGCAGAGCCGGGGGCCAGCACAGAGGGAAACAGCACCAGGUAUCGUGGGCACCAGCACUCGUUCCCCUGCGCCCCGGGGAUGGUCCCACCGACAUGCCCGACCCGCCCGCGCCUCAUCUGCCCCAAAUACCCUCAUCCAGCAGGGCGCAACUCCACAAUUGACAACUCACAGUGCUUGCCGCGACGCUGACUGUAAGACAGCAAAGCUGGAUACUGGCGGGAGACGCAGGCGGAGAGUCCCUCCGUGGCCCACGAGCGGGGGUCCUCGACCACUGAACACCCUAUAGGGGCACCGGGACCUUGCCUGACUGGCGUGGGCUGAAUAAAGACUCACAAACUGUCAGCCUCGAGGUCUAGAGCCAUCGGCACAUGUCAACCCACUAUCACCCAGCGGUAUUACCCCAAUUUUCCAUGACUCUUAUCUGCUUGCUUUUUCCGGUGCAUACCCUCAGCAACUACUCAUUAUCAAAGUUUGAUUUAUGUUUAAAUGUAUACAGAUGUAAGGGCACCCUCCACCACCAAGGAAUAAGUAAUUGACCUUCCCUCUCUCAGGCUAGAAAAGGGCCACAAACAGGUCUUUGACAAAACAAAUGUGACAAUGCUUGAAAGCCUCAUUCUAGCCUACCUUGGUAUGUUUUAGCCUAUGUCUAGCAACAUAUUAGCACCUACCACACGUUUUCACAAGCAUGUAUAAUCUGAUGUUAAAGUGUAUUUUAUAAACAGUGCAGUGAACUAGAUCCGUAACUAUCAGUGACCAAAUACGUUUGUGAUUACAGCCUGCAUACUCCUAAUUAUAUACUGUGUUACUUUAAUCUAGCUCAUGUAAGCUUAGUAUAAUUAUUUUAUGUUUAAUUACUUUAUGUUUGACUAGCUUAUGACAUAGCGUAAAACCCAACUAUCUAGAAAGAUACAAGCGAUGUAGCUCCGUGUUGUGUUUUGACAUGCUUGAGCAACGUAAAUAUAUACUGUUUCUCCCACUUAAGCAUAGUCAGACAUAACCAUGUCAAUGUCUAGAUAUUGAAGCGAUGACGCGCGACAUAAAUAUUAACCCUAAGCUACUGUUACUCAACGACAAUGUAAGUCAAAAAGACAGACGUAGUUACUCAGCAUGUACUUAACUUGUAUUAUUACCCUAAAAAAUGUGUGCGUUUCUUCUAGAUGCUGUACAACAGUUAACAAAUAAGUGUUUGUAAAUUGAUUGCGAAUGCUGUUGUGGCAUUGUUGAUAUGCAAAAGUUAUUUCAUGCACAGCAAAAAUAAAGAAUUAUAAAAAAUAAAAAAAAGUUGUUAAAUCCUAAAUCAUUUGUUUUUAUUGUAUUGUCAGGGUGCUUUGCAGACGGAACAUAUUAUGAAGAUCAAGGCACUAUUCGAGAAAACUGCAAUUACUGGUAAAGUCAGAUAAAACAAACAAACAAACAAACAAACAGUUUUACAUUUGAAACAUCAAGGUUAAUUUACUAUGAUCCAGAGAAACCAACACAACACUUUAAAUUGAAUGUUGUUCAUAAUUCUGAAAAUAGGAUCUACAACAUUUUUUGGAAUGGUUUGAUGCUAAAAAACAAGUUUACGUAAGAAUAAAGAUAUUUCUAGCACCACAAUUUUUAAUCAAUGUAAAAAAAAACAACAACUGAUGACUGCAUAACAGUAGAAUGUAUUCACAAGUUCUUCCACAUAGAUCACCAGAUGAAAUAAACAUUUUGGUUAUAGUUAAAGGAUUUAGAAGAGAGCAUGACAUUACAAACACAUAGAAAACAUUUUCAUAUGUACAUAUUUCCACAUAAAUAAAUUAACCGAUAAACAUUUCACUUUAACACAUUAGACCGUUAUGUUUUUAUUUCAGCAGUAUGAGUGAAUGAGUGAAUAAGUGUUUGAGAGAAAAGGUAAUGGCUACACAAUAUACUAUAUAAUAGUGACAAAGGGGGUACUGAAGGCUCAGUAGUGUGUAGGGAGGGAAUAGGAUGACUGUGAGAAUAGAAAAGACAGGAGUGAUGGAGAAAGUACAAGUACAGUCUUUCCCAUAGUCUUUCGUUAUACGAAUGGGCUCCAUGGGAUGGCUAUCUGGGGUGACUCCAUUCGUAUGCAAAAGUACUGAACGCACCAGCGUUCAUAUGCUAGAGAAAUAGAAAAAGGGAGGUCGGCGGUUUCAUCGGUGUUCAUGAGAAAUAGUGUCCGUUUUUAGUUCCAGGAAAUCGUCAUGAACACCACUGGGCGUUCGUACGUCCAAGAUGGCCGCCGCCUUGUGUUUGUGCAUACAACGACGACCACCCAGCCGGCAUUCGACAAUUAGGAAGUGUCUGCGGUUAACCACAACGUCUUGAUGAGGCCAAGAGGUUAACCAGUAGCACACUUCCAUGCUUGGUGGCAGGCCGUUCGGCAAAUUGUUUGGUAUAAAGGAAACAAGCAUGAGGACUGUACGGACAGGGGAAUCAGCCGAACAAACAGACGAAUGAGGGAACCAUAAAAGUAGUUUAAAGACAUAUGUUUCUGUCACAAGUAUGACCUAGCGUACUAUGCAAAUGGUCUAGACUCACUAAGCCUCUAGCUUUUCGGGAGUGUGCAAAGAACCGAGUAUUUGAAAUACAAGGGGUUUGUUACAGGUAUUUAAAUUUUGAAGUCAAAAUUACUUAGGUACAAACUAGCUUAUUUGUGGAGCCUAUAUUCAAGCCUGGGUACAGAUCACAUAGACACAGCCCUUUAAUUUCAUGAAACCAUGACACCACUAGCAAUAUAAUUUAGAAAUAUAUGAGGGCUAUGUAUUUCAUACAUUCAUACCAUAAUCAAAUCACCUAAUUUAUACAGUUGUGCUUAAAAGUUUGCAUACAUUGGCAGAAAUUGUGAAAAUUUGUCAUUGAUUUUAAAAAUAUGACUAAUUAUGAAAAAAAGGUUUUGUUUUUUUAAAAUAGUGAUCAUAUGAAGCCAUUUAUUAUCACAUAGUUGUUUGGCUUCUUUUUAAAUCAGAAUGAUAACAGAAAUCACCCAAAUGGCCCUAAUCAAAAGUUUACAUACCCUUGAAUUUUUGGCUUUGGUACAGACACACAAGGUGACACACACACACACACACACACACAGGUUAAAAUGUAUAAACAGUCAAUGAGUUUGUUAGCUCUCACGUGGAUGGACAGAGCACGCUAGAUACUGAGCCAUGGGGAGCAGAAAAGAACUGUUAAAAGACCCAUGUAACAAGGUAAUGGAACUUUAUAAUGGAAAAGGAUAAAAAAUAUAUCCAAAACCUUAAAAACGCCAGUCAGUGGGGGGAGGGGGGGGAGGAGUGGAGCAAGAUGAUGUAGGAUGUGCUUCUGCGUCCUCAUGGAACGCGGCUGAGGGACCGAUCAGGGAAGCCUGACAGGAGGAGAGGUCUGAACCCGUCUCACCGGUGAAGAUUCCCGGGGUGCUGUUCAGAGAGCUGGAAAUGAGGACCAGCUGCCACAUAAGAGACACGCUGGAAAAAGUCACUGAUUGUAAUCAUGGCGGGCAGAACCAAAGGAACCCAGCAUGGGAGAGCAUACACAUGCUGCAAGCUGGGUCGAACAACUAUAAGCUAAGUAUAAAUUGUCACAUAACUGUCUGUACUAACCAGCAAGUUAGAUCAUGAAAUUAGCAGAUAUAAAAUUGUACACAGUCAUAUUCAGUUUACAAUGCAGGGGCUAACAUAAAGUGAAUAGACACAUAAGAGAAAGGUGAAAUUGGAGUGCAAAUAGAGAUCAGUAUACAGAGAGCAAAUAAGGAUAUAAAGACUAUCCCACUUAAGUCAAUUCGUACCUACAGUAAGGAGUAGACCGGUGUAGGUCUGCAGAGUGCUAAGUUAAAGAGCCCAGUGAGUUUGCUUUAGUAGAUUUUUCAGUUGGUAUUCCAAUUCUUUGGCGUCAUAUAACCAUAAUACACGGUACGUCGACUCAAUUCCUGAUACAUAAGGAACAUUAAAGGAGCAAUACCUAAAGAAAUAAAUACAUUUUAAAAUUUUAGAUAAAGGGGGAAAAAAAGAAAAUACAUAAAAAAGAGGGGAGAGAUUGAAGGAAAAAAAGGGAAAGGGGAAAAAGAAAGGGAGAAAGAGGUAGAAAAAGAAAACUAAAAGAAAAUGGGUUACAAAAAAGGCAUCAAACCACAAGCAUCUAAAAAAAGAAAAAAAAGCCGGAAAAUAAAACAAAAAAACCAGCUUUCCUUCUUUUUACCAAAUCCAGCAAUUAACAAAACAAACAUGGAGGAAUCGAUUCUCUCUAAUAUCCCUUUAGAAGAAGCUAUGAACAAAAGACAAGUGGAGGAAAAUCAAGAUUUAAGUCAAAAAGAAGGAAGAAGUGAAUAUGACUAUUUACUUAGUCAUUUAGACACACAAUUUGGGAAGCUGAGAGAAGAAAUACAAGCUAACACUAUAGACAUCAAGAAAGAACUGCUGACUCUUAACAAACGAUUCUGAGGAAUAGAUGAAAAAUUAAAUGGGUUGGAACAUAAGGAAAACGCCCACAAAGAAGAACACCUAAUGCUAGAGAAAAAGAUGUUUGAUAUGGAGAAUGAACUGAUAGACCUAGGCAAGAAGGAACAAUUUAAGAAUAAGAGGAGUAUCAGAGAAAAUAAAUCUGAAAAAUCUGGAACCAUACAUAGAUUUUAAACAUCUGAAUGGGACCCUAGUAUCUCUAUGAUGGAAAGAUGCCACAGAGUGAGCAAACCUAAAGGCAUCCCAGAACAUCUACCAAGGGAUGUAAUGAUAUGCUGUGUCUCUUCUAAAAUUAAGACGCAAGUACUGAAAGCCAUAAGAAGUAAUGAAUGCGCAGAAGAAUAUAAAAUAUUACAAGUUGUGGUGAAACCAACCUCGCCACUGGGCAUUGGAGAAGCCUGUUUGCCUGCCUCCUGCCUACUGACUAUGGCCCCAGGGAGACUUGGCCCUUUAAAUACAGUAUUUGGGCAUAUUCUAUUUUAUUAUGCUGUUGCUGGCCCUUUAAGAACCAUCUGGGGACAUACUGUGGAGUUACUGGGUGGCCACCAUUUCAUGUAUCAGAGGCACAUGGUGAGAACAAUGGAUGAAGCACAUGGUGAGAACAAUGGAUGGCGGCCAUUUUAACUCACAGACACUGUUUGGACUUUUCUACAUGGUGCCAUCUCGCCAGUAUUUGGUGCACGAAGACAUCGUUCAGUAGUUUUAAACUAUACAACAGGGGCCACAUUAUACAGUAAUUAUUUUGCAUAUAGCCUGUAUAUGUUCUACGGAAUCUGCAUUAAACUGCAUCUUCCAAACUACUGAUUGGAUCUGGGUGAAUUUUGGCUAUGUGGUUCACCCAGACCCCCCGGUUCCGAGGAUAUACAGGAUUCCGAGGAUAUAUUUUUAUGUGGUUAUUGCAUGUUUUGGGGUCCCUGUGAUUUGUUUUAUGAUACCGUAUUUCUCUGCCUGUGAUAAUUAGAUUAACCGUUGUGUUCAGUAAUCAUAUCACAGGCAGAAGGGAGGAUUUUGUGUGGGAGUGUCUGUGUGUAUUGUACGGAUUGAUUGGUUGUAUUUCAAAACCCUGUGGGCAGUACUCUGUUUGUGGAUUGUGAAUAAAAGAGGCUGUAUGUGCCAGUACAGUCAGUUCUGCUUGACCUCAAAAUGAAGUGUUGUCUCGUUAUUGGGGGAAUUGGAUUGUAUGCUGAUUGCCAGGAGUAUAAGCUGAUUGUAUGCUUUUCCUGUUCAGCUGCUUACAGUAUUCGUAUGCUUGAGAGCAUUCGUAUGCUUCUCCAGUUUGGUGGUUGUGGUGUCUGCUUGGAGUCCUCAGGAAGUGCUAGGAGCAUCCUUCAACAGAGGUACCCAGUCGGGGUGCCAGGCGAUCCGUUACACAAGUAUUCCAGGAUCUAUCAUGGCAAACCAGACAAAAGAGGAAGGCCUUUUCUGAAGGCACACCAAUCCUGAGACAGAAUAAUAUCAAUUAUCAACGGGGGUUUCCCAUGAAAAUUAUUAUAUCACAUGAAGGGAAACUCACCUACAUUAACAUAGCAGAAGACCUGAAAUGUUGGUUAAAUCAAAUUGGAAUCAAUCCUAGACAUCAGCCAACAAAUCGGGAUGACACAAAUAUCUAAAGGAAUGGAGAGGGAGAGAAGGGAGAAGGAGGAGGAAGGGGGAAAGAGAGGGAAGGGAAGGGGAAAGGUUCUUUUUUUCUCUCUUCACUGUUUUUUUAUGUCAGCAUUAGGGGAUAAGGGGAUUUAUGAGGUAAUAUAAAUUGAUGUAAAAACAGGAACUUAGUGAAAUUGAAGAAACAAAUAAAGAAUAGAGAAUAGUAGAUCACAUCAAAAUUGAAUCAAACAGGCACUUAAUAAGAGAGUUAAUGCACAAAUUGAAGGAAAAUAUACCUAUUAGGAGCACAAUAAAAAGAAGGAAAUGAAAUAAGAAACACAGAAAAGUAACAUUAUAAGAAAAGGACGCUAUAAAAUAAGAUAGGCAUAUCCCUAGAUAUGGAGGAAAGAAAGUUAAGGGAAAGAGUGAUAAGUUUAAAUAUAACACAAGUUUGUCACAAAAGUAAGAGAUAGUGAAAUAAUAAUAUUCACAUUAUAAUUUAAGCAAUAUAGUGUUGCAAGUGUAAAAAAGGUUCAUAAGAGUCUUUUUUGCACACCAGGAAUUAGAUUUUUUUUUUUCACUCCUCCUCACUCUCCUCGCCCCUUCUACUAGAAGUGACUCUAGCUAACCCCAGAUCGACUACCCUCAGUACGCUUUUCCCACAUGAUACGUGGGACCUAUAUCAGAGUAAUAUUUUUCAUUGCUCGAGAUAUUGUAUGGCGGGGGUUUCCCAUACAUUACGUUUGUUUUAGGUUGAUGCCAUUGUUUCGGAACAACCCAUCUUAUUUUGGGGUAAACACUAAUAAAGAAGGGUUUUUUAUUUUCUACUUAAGUAUGGUAACACAUGGAGAGUAGAGAUGUCGCGAACUGUCCGCCGAACUGUUCGCGAACUGUCCGCCGACGAACAAUAGCGUGUUCGCGUUGGGCGAACAUAUCCGAUUUCCGGUCCGCCCCCUAUACGUCAUCAUUGAGUAAACUUUGACCCGGAACCUCACAGCCAGCAGACACAUUCCACCCAAUCAGCAGCAGACCCUCCCUCCCAGGAAGUGUCUGCUGACUGUGAGGUUCCGGGUCAAAGUUUACUCAAUGAUGACGUAUAGGGGGCGGACCGGAAAUCGGAUAUGUUCGCCCAACGCGAACACGCUAUUGUUCGCCGGCGGACAGUUCGCGGACAGUUUGCGACAUCUCUAAUGGAGAGAGAGAGAGUCCCAAAAACCAACAAGAGAUUACAAAUGAAGUUGAUCUCAAUAAAUGCCCGGGGGAUUAAUACACCAUGUUAAAAGGUCUAUAAUUGUAGAUUUUCUGAUAAAAAAAAAAUCGGGUACAAAUUUGCGCCCUACAAAAACCCAUUGGACAAUAUCUAAAGAAAAUACAAUAAAUUCAUCAAAUUCAUCCCUAUUAUCAUAAGUGCAGCAUUAGAAAAUAAGAAAAAAGAGGCGUUGCAUUUUUCUUUGCAAAAAAUGUUUCCUUAAUUAUUAAACCUCAAGAACUAGAUGCAAAAGGCCAAUAUAUAUUAUUUUAAUUUGUGAAAUAAAUAAGCUAUUCUCAUUAGCCAAUAUCUAUGCACCAAAUAAAGCUACAAUAAACUCCAUAUCAAAAGUGCUUAAAAAACAGAGAAGAUCAAACAAGGGUUGGUAUUAAUUAUGUUAGACUUCAACUGUGUAGUUGAUCCACUAAAGGACAGAAAGAGCCAGAACGAUGGGAAUAAAUAGGAAAAUAGAUGAUACAAGACUGCAAAAACUACUGAACAAUCAUAAUCUAAGAGAUGUAUGGAGAACAUUUCAUCCUGACGAUCUAGACUACACAUGCUAUUCGAAAACAUUCAACUCAUAUUCCAAAAUAGACCUUGUCUUGGGAAACGUGACCAUGUUAUACAUUGUCAAAAAAGUAGAGAUACAGGAUAUAGCAUGGUCAGACCGUAGCCCUAUCAUGUUGGAAUACAAAGAUAACUUUGAUAAUUUCUGUAAAGAGUGGCACAUGAAAGAUUUUAUAUUACAUUAAAAAAAAUAAUGUGGAAGAAAUUAAAAAAAUAAAUUUCCAUCUUCCAAGUUUCCCCUUCCUUUCCCCUCCUUUAUUAUACUGUUCUUAUAAUUUGUUGUAAAAUUUGCAAAACUUUCAAUAAAAACUAUUUGAAAAAAAUGAAAUCUCUUUUUUUUUUUAAAGAAAAUAAAAACAAAAGGCACAAUGGAUAUCAUGGUCUGUUGCGCUUAGAAAAGUGUAGUAAGAGGUCAUUUAAUAAAAAUAGCAGCCAUUGAAAAUAAAAAAGGUCUACCAACUCUUUUUAAAUUAUAUUUAACACUAAGCGAAUACAAAAGCCAAAAUAAAACACCCUCCAUACAAAUAGCAAGUAAGAUUGCAGAAAUAGGAAAACAGAUCAACAACCAAUUAAUGAACAAAGUAUCUAAACAACUAGAAGCACUAAAAGCUAAAUGGUACCUAAAAGGCAAUAAACCAGAAACAAUUAUGUCUAAUAAACUGAAAAAAAGAUAAACAUAAAGAAGUAAUAUAUACAAUAAAAGAUAAGGAUACCUAUAUAGGUCUAGCAUUUGAAAGAUUUUAUCAGAAUCUAUAUUGCUUACCAGAAAAAAACAUUUGGCAAAAAAAAAGAGAUUGAGAAAUUCGUGGAAAAUCUGUCCAUGCCCAAAAUUCUACCCGCCCAAUUAAGACUGAUAAAUCAGCCCAUAACAGAACUAGAGGUUACUAAAUCUAUAGAUAAACUUAAAAUAAAGACUGCACCAGGCCCAGAUGAAUUCACAAACAAAUUCUACAAGUUAAUAAAAGAACUAACUAAUAUUUUUAACUAUAUAAUGAAAACAGGAAACUGUCCUGGAGACCUGUGUAGAGCGAACAUCGUUCCCAUCCCAAAAGCAGAUAAAGAUCUAGAUCAUAUCUGCAACUAUACACCUAUAUCAUUAAUAAAUACAGAUAUUAAAAUACUAUCUUCUAUUCUUGCUGAUUAAAAAUAGGAAUACCACAAUUAAUCAAUAAUGACCAAUUCAUACCAGGGAGAUCCCCAAUUAAUAAUCUUAGAAAAAUAAUAAACAUAUUAGAAGAAAUAGAGAACAAUGGAACCCCUCUAAUAUUCCUGUCAAUAGACUCAGAAAAAGCGUUUGACAGGGUUGGAUGGGGUUUCUAGUUCGCCACUUUAAGCCAGCUUGGAAUCACUGGAUCAAUUUCACAAACUGUGUCCACUCUCUACAGUUCUCCAUCAGCUAAGGUAACAGACUCAGGAUUUACAUCACAAAACUUUAAUAUCAAAAAUGGGAUAUCGCUCCCUUCUACUGUACAUAAUGGUGGUUAGAACCCCUAGCAAUUUUAAUAAGACAAAACAAAAAAAAAUCAAAGGAUUUACAAAUUUGCUAGGACAAACCAGAAAUCUUGCAAUGCUAUCAGGCUAGUAGACUUUUCAAUAUAAUGCUCACACAAAGUGAAGCGGCAACUCAAUAUGGUAUAAAAUGGAAAAAGCAAACAAAAGUAAACAAAAAAUAUAUCAGAGAGGCUCAAACCAAAUCCCAGAUAAUUAAAGAGUUAACAAGAUGGUGGGAUAAAUUUAAAAACAAUAAAGGUCUUAGAAAUAAAAUAAUAGGAGGGGCGUGUCCAGGAAGCGGACCGGAGCAGACGCAUGUAGGAAGAGCUCCGUGCCUCGACGGCUGAAAAAGAGCAAUUAAACCCAAAACAGAACGCUGAACCCGUCUCCACAACAUCAUGUCUCAGCCUAAAGGUAAAAGGACAGAGGAGAAGGAAAAAAAAAAGCUAUUUUUUUGCAUCCCGAGUGGGGCAAGGACGCACCGCAAACCAGCCCCACUAGGCCCAAGAUGGCGUGGACGGCAGGCAUGAAGAGAAAGCUAAGCAAGGGGACUAUGACACCACUUUGACCCACGGCUCCUUAAAGCAGUGUCUAAAUGAGAUGGCAGAUAGAAUCUUGGCGAAAAUGGAUAGCUCCAUAAAGGACCCGCGAAAGGAAAUGCAGGAAAUAGGCCACCGCACAUCACAGAUGGAGGAUCAGCUAGCAGAUAUGGCGGAGGUCCACAACUCGCUGGCAGACACAGUGGAAGGCCUGUUAAAUGAUCAAGACCUUAAAAUUGCAGAUAUAGAGGACCGGGCCCGUCGUAACAACCUCCAUUUUAGGGGAAUUGUAACGACAGAUGAACUUACUGCUCAUGUCACAGGCCUACUAAGAGAACUAGCUCCUGACUUGCCACAAGACCUAUUCCUGUUGGACAGGAUUCACAGGAUUGCCAAACCAAAAUUUUUACCCCCUGAAACACUGAGAGACAUAUUGAUCAGAAGGCAUUAUUUCCACGCCAAAGAGGAGAUACUUACCGCAAACCGAAAACGGAGGGAGAUGCCAGCGGCAUACAGAGGGAUAACAAUCUACGCGGACCUAUCCUCAUACACCCUGAAAAGAAGACGGGAAUUCAGAGACAUCACUGCGUAGCUCCGAGAAAAUCAUCUACCGUAUAGAUGGGGGUACCCCACCAAGCUUCUGGUAUCGAGAGAAGGGAAGACCACCAUCAUCGGAAUCCCUGAGGAAGGCCAACGCAUACUGAGCACAUGGAAUAUGGUGACUACCACGACAUUGGAAAAGGAGGGGAGCAGAGCCAGAGUUACCUCGGACUGGAAGAAAGCGAAAACUUGUACUUGGACCCAUUCUCUUUAAUAUUUUUAUUAGUGAUAUUGCAGAAGGUCUUGAUGGUAAGGUAUGUCUUUUUGCUGAUGAUACUAAGAUAUGUAACCGGGUUCAUGUUCCAGGAGGGAUAAGCCAAAUGGCAAAUGAUUUAGGAAAACUAGAAAAAUGGUCAGAAUUGUGGCAACUGACAUUUAAUGUGGAUAAGUGCAAGAUAAUGCAUCUUGGACGUAAAAACCCAAGGGCAGAAUACAGAAUAUUUGAUAGAGUCCUAACCUCAACAUAUGAGGAAAGGGAUUUAGGGGUGAUUAUUUCUGAUGACUUAAAGGUAGGCAGACAAUGUAAUAGAGCAGCAGGAAAUGCUAGCAGAAUGCUUGGUUGUAUAGGGAGAGGUAUUAGCAGUAGAAAGAGGGAAGUGCUCAUGCCAUUGUACAGAACACUGGUGAGACCUCACUUGGAGUAUUGUACACAGUACUGGAGACCGUAUCUUCAGAAGGAUAUUGAUACCUUAGAGAGGUUCAGAGAAGGGCUACUAAACUGGUUCAUGGAUUGCGGGAUAAAACUUACCAGGAAAGGUUAAAGGAUCUUAACAUGUAUAGCUUGGAGGAAAGACGAGACAGGGGGGAUAUGAUAGAAACAUUUAAAUAUAUAAAGGGAAUCAACACAGUAAAGGAGGAGACUAUAUUUAAAAGAAGAAAAACUACCACAACAAGAGGACAUAGUCUUAAAUUAAAGGGACAAAGGUUUAAAAAUAAUAUCAGGAAGUAUUACUUUACUGAGAGGGUAGUGGAUGCAUGGAAUAGCCUUCCAGCUGAAGUGGUAGAGGUUAACACAGUAAAGGAGUUUAAGCAUGCGUGGGAUAGGCAUAAGGCUAUCCUAACUAUAAGAUAAGGCUAGGGACUAAUGAAAGUAUUUAGAAAAUUGGACAGACUAGAUGGGCCGAAUGGUUCUUAUCUGCCGUCACAUUCUAUGUUUCUAUGUUUCUAUGAAAAAGAGAUAGAGGGAGAGGACUAUCUGUGUGGCGGCUAUAUGGCUAAGAAAAACAACCACCAAAAGGGCAGGGUAAUGUAAUGAAUAAAUCACAACUCACACGCAAACAUGAGUGCUCCUGAGUGGGCACAUAGGGGGGGAUCAAGCCAUGUCACUAUGAGAAUACAGAGAAUACAGCAGCAUAGACCGGGGGACAUAUACCCGUGCCCCAAGACACAACACCCUCACUGAAUAAAACAUGGCUAAUCACUAACCAGGCACCCGAACAAGAGCAGGGAAGGAAGGAGGGGAAAAAUAAAGCCAGAAGGUCGGUCACACAGCCACCACAAACCAAGGCGUGUUAAACAAUUUAAAUAAUUAAUAAAAAAUAAAAAAACAGCUGGAAAAGUAUACACUCAGACAGCAACAUUAAUGAUACUAGGGCUUUCACAUAGUGUUGGGGACACCCCAAUACGAAAAAUGGACUCAGCCAAAGAGGGAGAUAGCGUCUAGUGGACGUGAGGCCAUAAGCCUCUACCCCCAAGGCACGACUAUGCAGUGCCAAGCCAAGACCAUGGCACCAAUAACACCAAGGAAUGUUCAUGUAAAUAUUUUUGUUUAUCUUACUGUUAUGUUUUAUGUUAUACUAUGCAAUGUUAACUUACUAUGUGUUUCGAACCUUAUGACCAGUGAUGGGGCAGGGUUAGUGGGCGACCUGACACCAUUCACCUUAAUAAAGAUGAAACAACCCAGAGAGGAACGUGAAAUCUCACAUCCCGCUUGCUACUUAUGGACAAUGACUAAAGCACGAAGGGUUGCCCUCAAAGCCAUAGAUAGAUAUGCAAGGAACACUAAGCACUAUCCCCAGAAACCACCGUGAAGGUAUGCACCUUCAAUGUCAGAGGCCUUAAUACACCAGUAAAGAGACACCUUCUUAUAAAAGAGGUUAAGACCCUUGAUGUCGAUAUUCUGUGCUUACAGGAAACACACUUUAGAUGUAAUGGUCACCCGACAAUCUUAACCAAUGAAUUCCCACACCAAUUUCAUGCCAUCUCACCAACCAAAUCUAGAGGAACCUCUGUCCUCAUAAGCAGAUCUGUCUCGUUUUUGCUACACACAUCAGACAUAGACCCAAAUGGGCGGUACGUCAUUCUAACAGGCUUGAUUAAUUAUAUGCUCUAUACCAUAGUGAACGUCUACUCCCCAAACAUAAAUCAAAGGAACUUCCUACACAAAAUGUUAUUGAAAAUAGCUAAAGUGCAAAAAGGAAUCGUGGAUAGCAAUGGAGUCGGCCUGGACAUGUCACAAGGGCCUCCGACACCUCUUCUGGGUCCCACAUAAAAGGCAGCCACCACAACCAGAUAUGCCCAACACCACAGAGCUACUGCUAAAAGUAUGGGACACGGUCAAACCACAAUUGGGUUACAAACACGAGUGGACAUUGGCCACCCCAAUAUACAGCUUACAUAUAGCAAACCCCACUUUCGACCACCGAACCUGGAACAAAGUAGGAUGCACAAUGGUCAGACACCUAUAUAACCAGGGAACCCUUAGACAAUUCCCAGAGCUACAGCAGAGCUGCCACAAAGGGCUAUGUUUUCCUAUUUACAGCUCAAGGGGAUUCUAUCCAACACCACCACAACCACCAUCCCUCCCCAAUCCUGAAUGUAUAGAAAAAGCAUGUGAAGCCGGGUCCGUACCCAAAAAAACACUUUCGCUCCUAUACACAAUACUCAAUACUCCGAAUCAAGCAAAGACAGACAAAUUCAGGGAGGCGUGGCAUACAGAUAUGGGCAAAACAUUCACGUUCAUGGCACACAAAGGCAGAUCAAGGUGCGCAUCACACUUAGAAUUAAUGCAUAAUAUACAAUACAGAUGGUACCUGGUGCCGACCAGAUUAGCAACUAUAUUUAUCUCAAUUGGCACACACACGAAGGCACAGAUGAGCCUGGCAUUCCAGAUACUAAUAGCAGCCAACCUCUUAAUAGCCAGAGGUUGGAAACAGACACAAGCCCCAGAAAGGAGCAACCUAGUAAACCAGAUAUCCCUAAACCUCACCUAUUAAACUACAACAAAUCAACAAAAACAAACGGCAAAGCACAUGGCGGAAGCGAGACAGGAAUGAGAAAAAUGUCUCAAACAGAAGAGUGGAGAGGGAUGAGAUAACAGGGACGAAGGGAACAAAAAGACGAACAAAGGAAGGAGGGUAGAGGGACUGGUAACCCUAAGCAACACAGACACACAAAAAAAAGUAAAAAAAAUAAUGAGAGCCAAGAAUAGCCUCGACGACAAGGCCAAAGGAGACGGUGCAAAGGGAUAUAAUGAUUACAGAUGUAUCCUAGAGGCAAAGCGGAACAGUUGCCCACAUUGUAGAUAGUUGGUAGACACCACACCCUUAACCCUUACACUACGAACGUACAUAAAGACAAGACCCGACUAAACUAUAUACUGGUACGGACAGAAUGCAAGCAUGCACACACAGUAACAAUUACACCUGUGCCACAACAGAGACAGAAGAACGAAAUGAAUAAAAUGCUAAAACUGUCAGAAUUGUUGUUAUUGCUAACAAUGAAGAUUUAAAAAGCAACAAACCAGACUACCCCACCCCUCUUCUUUUCUGUACCCCAGUUAUGCUUAUCAACAAAAAUAAAAAUUGUCAAAUUGAAAAAAAAAAUGAAAAAAAAAAUAAUAGAUGCACUCCCACUCUCAAGUAUUUCAGAUCUGUUAGGAAACAUAAAAAUAGUUAUUUGGACAUCAAGGGGGAUAAGGGAAAUUAAAUAUAUAAUAGUAUUACAUAAUCUCAAACCCUUUAAUCAAAUUAGGAAGAAAUGUAAUAUUCCCCCCAGUGAAACGUUUAAUUAUUUGCAAAUUAAGAGCUUCUUAACAGAACAUCUAUAUAAAAAUAAAGGGGAGAACACCACACACCUUAUACAUCUGUUUGAACUAAAAUAAUUAUAAAAAUUUACUGGCAAAAUGUGCCAAAGUUGGAGACAUGACAAACCGAUAGCAUUGAUCAACAAAUAGGGAAAAUAACUUUAAAUGCACAUAGAAGAAGAUGAAUGGAUAAAUUCCUUAAACAAACUAAAUAAACAUAUACACUGUCUAAACCUUACAGAAACUCACUUUAAAUUAGUAAAUAGAUGGUAUUUAACACGUUUAAAGAAAAUUUACCCAGAGUUAUCAGAUAGAUGUUGGAAAUGCAAUAUUGAUAAGGGCAAUUUGAUCCACAGCUGAUGGCAGUGCACAUUCAUAAACAAAUUUUGGCAAGAAGUAAUUAGGUUAAUAUAUCAAAUAACAGAAAUAAAACUACCUCUCAACCCUGAAGUAAUCCUACUAAAUCUGAACUGGCUAAAUAUGACACCAACAAAAAACAUUAAUGUUAAUACUACAUACAAUCACGGCAGCUAAAUAUAACCCAGAUAUGUUACAAUAAAAAUAUUUUAAAAAAUAAAAAUGGUACAUAUAUUACCGAUUUCCCAAGAGUAUGCACAUUUUUUAGCACAAUUGUAGCUACUUUGAGAAAAAUCAUAACAUAAGAAAACAGGAAAGAUAAAAAAAAAUUACUAGUUAUGGCCAAGCUUAGAGAAAUCAAGUAAAUUACCUGACAUACUCAUUAUAGAUCUUACAAAUGCUGCCUUAAUUUGUUUUGGGACUAGCAGAUCUCAAAAUGAAUCACUACUCUUAAUGCAUGUCAGCUGUUUUUCAAAGUAUACUUUUAUACCACAUACCUGUCAGUCAAUGCUAUGUGCAAUUUUGUUUUUAGGGUAUUUCGGCAAUUCAACCAACCAUGUACAUAAAUCACAAUAAACAAAUGGUUAAACCAGGCCAAAAUUAACAUUGCUCCUUUUCCAUUAACGGUUUCCCUUGUAAGGGUUACAAGUAGGCUAAUCUAGUCAUAAAACAUGUUUGUUUGCAUUUAUAAAAUAUUUAUGCAACAUUUCAGAAAUUUGUGAUUUAGCAUUUUUAAUGUACCUUUAUCUUAUAAUUAAGGCCCAAUAAUAAACAAAAUAAUCUGCUCAAACCAGGGACUUUACUAGGAUCUAGAAACACCUGGGGCUGGAAUCCAUAGGAAACCCUGAUGACUUCUCCCCAUGAAAAGCAUUAUAAGCAUGUUGUUGCUCUCUGGUAUCUCAAUGAAAGCAUAGCUGGAAGGAAGCACAUGUUGCACAGGCAGGUAUUCCAUAUGAUUCCACCAUUCUAACUAAUUAAUGGAGGGGUGUGUAGUUUUGUUCCUUAGCACCCACUCCUGACCAUCACCUGGGGAAUAAAGCAUCUGACUGUUUUCAAAUAAUACAAAAUAAAAACGCUAGUAGUUUCACUUUGACAAUCAUGUCGGAACAAACUGCAAUUCGACCAAAUUUGGGCCAAUUGAUUAAUUGGCUGAACUUUGGAUUUCCAAGCUGUCAUGUGCCAGAAUUUCAGGGGAAUCACCUUGCAUGAGCCUGACCAUGUUGGGUUUACUUCUGGAUUGUGAGUGCUAUUCUUUGCACCUUGCAUCAAAAAAGGAAAUGGAAUGAAGGAAAGGGUGUUUAUUUGGGUUGGGACAAAUAGGCAGUUUAGUUUGAUGCUAUGAUGUUCAAGAGGUCUGCCCAAUCAUGUAGUCUGAAUCUCCUGUCCAAUUAAAAAGUAACAAAAAUGAUUGAUUGUUAGAGGACAGUCACUAAAAGUGAAGUUUAAGUGAACAGUGAAUAAAGGAACAAUAUAAAACUUAUAUUUCCAAGCAGCAUUCUUCUAAACACUUUGGCUUCAACUACUGAAGGAGACAACCCAGCAGUGAUCAUGUGUGUUGACCUUGCUGUGCCUAUGUUGGAGUUGUAGAUAACUUGGAUAAAUAAUUCUAGCGUGAAACUAGCUUUAACAUUAUGCUGUAUCUAGCUAACAGCUACUAUCAGGUGCACGCGAAAUAUCUUUGAGUGGGGGAUAGAAGACUGGCAAGCAUUUUGCUUUUGAUUCUAGUAUGAAAUUAUUUUCCACCAUACAAUUGUUAUAGGUUAUGUUUUUGUUAAUUAUAGAAAAGAAAAUUCUUCUUUUGGGGAUUGUGGUGUUCCAUAACAAAGGACAGAAAAUUGGUGAUGUAUGGGGCUCUCCUUAAAUAAACAAGGGGCCUGGACAUGCCAUUGUCCAAAUCCAAUAUAUUACGAUGCCCAGCCUCAUUUCCAUUUCACCCCUGGGUGGCUAGAGGUCCCCUAGCCAAUCCUCAUAAAAAUAAAUGUCACUAUCUACACCUUUUUACUCUAAUAUUAUUAUUUAUUUUUUUAAAUUUAUUUUUUUAUAUAUAUUUUUUGUUAUUCAAGGUUUUUAUUGUGAAGCAUUUGCAAAAUUACAAACAAAGUAGUAUAGAAUAACAUGUCGUAAGUUUAACACCUUUAACAGUUCUCUUUUUUGUUAUUCAAGGUUUUUGUUGUGAAGCAUUCGUAAAAUUACAAACAAGGUAGUAUAGAAUAACAUGUAAGUUUAACACCUUUAACCGUUCUCUUUUGUAGGGUUUGAGCAUUUGCAUAAUGACAGGCAGGUUAACAUAGCUAUGACAGCCCAUACCAACAUUGUAAUAACAUGAUGGAUUCCAGUGAAAUUGCUUACAUUGUAUCACACUCAUUUGUGGCUUGGAGUCUGAUAAUUCAACUUCUUUUCAACCGAGAGUGUUUAUACUGGAGUUAUACUGAACAGUGUGUCUACAGAGCAGUGAUUGAUCUUCACGAGGGUUGUCAUGUGUGUAACUCCCAAUGCUAUUCUAUUGUUUAAGUCGUCUUAUAUUCUGUCCAUUUCACUUUGGUCUCUAUCCCGUCCAUUUAGCUUUAUUUGAACUAUGGAACUAAGCUCAAGAUAUUGUUAAAUGCCAAAUAUAAAGGAAUAUACCUUUAAAAUAGUCUUCUCACUUUAGAAUGUCAAUAUUUCUGUGUUAUCCCUUUAAACAGAAAACGUAAAAAUACAAAUCAUAGGGCCAACUGUAUAGUACAAAUCGAAUGUGAGGUAUAGUGCCAAGUAACAACUCACAAUUAUAUGAGCUACAAUCUUAGCUCAAGUUCAUGUGAUUUAGGGUCCAUUAAGGCAACCCUUUCCCUUCUUUAUAUUUAGAUUUUCUUAGAGUUCUGUCCUAGGAAGUUGGUAUAAAGGAAACAUAUAUAAUGUACUAUUGUUGAUAUUUGUAGGGGUAAUAGUAAAGUGCAAUUUGGUACUCACAAACCCAGAGCCUUCCAAUAGGCUCAAAUCAAGUCACAUAUGUGGUUAAGGACCACAUUCCUUCUUUGUGAUAGCAGGAAAAAUAGUGCUGUAAGUGUAUAAAAAGUAUAUACUUUAUUUAAUAUUAAUAACAUAUAAUAUAAAAACACAAUAUUCUAAAAAACACUUAUUCGGCAAUAGUCCCAAAAAAAUAGUACUCACAGUUCUCCCAGGACGCGUUUCGCCAAUAGACCUCCUGAGCUGGAAAAAUUCUUUGUCAGUUCUCUUUGGACUCCUUCCUGCUAUAAAUACCCCCCUAAUAGGGGACUAAUUGUUUCCUGGCUUGAAAUUCCGCAAGCAAUACCCAUGGUAAUGUGAACGCCCUGCGUGUCAAGCCACCUUUAGUUUUGUUUCUUCCAGGUUGUUUGUCGUUACGUCAUUUCCAGUUUCGUCAUUUCCUUUUUUUGCGUGCCAUCCUGCGUUCCAGCAGUCAUCGUCUUAUUAUUUUGCCGGGCACCAAAUUUUCAUGAUAUACAACAAAGGAAAUAAGCAGUAUAAAUGUUCUUACACUUUAUAAUCCUGAUUGAAUCUUGUAUACAAAUACACAUCAUUUGGAUAUGCACAGCAUUUCGGUCUAUUUUCAAGAGUGCUUAUUUUAAAGGAAAAAAACGUAUCAUCUUAAGGCUUCUUAACAUUAAACUAUUUCAACAAACUUAUUGACUCAUUUAUCUUGUUAAAAUGUGCAUAAUAUUUCGAUCUACUUACAAGAAUGCUUAUUUUUGUGGAAAACUUCUCAGGGCUUCUUACUAUUAGACUAUUUCUGUGAACUUAUUAAAUCAUUUCUAUUGAUAAAUAUAUGCAGUUUAUCCAAGGUUUUUACAAGAGAAGACUUAUCUUUUCAAAGUUUGUUUCUUAACUAUUUCAGUAGACUAAUUUUUUUUUUAUAUUAUGGGUGCCUCUAAGUAUUUUGAGGUGGAGAGUUAGAAAUAUAAAUGUUAUCUAAAUCAGUAAUAUAGAUGUAAUAUUUAUUUAAAAUAGAUAUCUAUAUGUUUUAAAAAAUAGAUGGAGAUAAAAACUAAGUAAAAGUUAUGAGAGGGUAUAAAAACUUUCUGUGUAAAAAUAAAAAGGAAAGACACUCCUCUUCCUUAAAGGGACACUAUAGUGUCAGGAAAACCGUUUUUUUUCCUGACACUAAAGUACCCUGAGGGUGCCUCCACCCUCAGGGUCCCCCUCCCGCGGCGCUGAAGGGGUUUUCAGUUUUUUCACAUUAAAAUUCGCCAGAUUGGUUACGUUGCAUUUGAGACUGUAUGGUAGCCCAGGAAUGAGAAUUACCCCCAUGAGAGCAUACCAUUUGCAAGAGUAGACAACCCAAAGUAUUACAAAUGGGGUAUGUCCACUCUUUUUUAGUAGCCACUUGGUCACAAACACUAGCCAAAGUUAACAACAACACUACAACCUGCAUCAACUGAAUCCCAAUUAGUUGGUUCAGUCACUUCUUCUGAUGCUCAGGACAUUAACCCAAGGAACGUCCGAUCAGGGUUCUAAAACUGAAUUCGUGUAGUGAACCGAUGAUCAACUACUCUGGGAGAUGUGAAACCUGAAAGGACCAAAUGAGGGAACGAAACCAUCGGUCGAGAUAUCCAUCUAGAUGUAUCCUCGUCGAGGAGUGAAGAGUGGUCUGGAUCCAAUAGGUAAUUGUGACCAGUAUAAACGAAGACGAGCCAUCACCUGUCGUAGUUGCGUGGUGUACCGCAAAGGAGUCAAAGGUGGUUUGAAGGGUAGACAGGCUUGAUGAACCGAAUCGGUCCUGGUGUGUGGGUCUGGACCAGGAUUACCGACCGUGAGACUGUCAGCUGAUAGGGAGAGAGUGGAAGAAGCUGAUUAACUGCUUGAACGAUCCCUUUCCCGUCCAGCACCGCCAGAAAUUUGUGGCGGGAGUAAUGGUAUGCCCGUCACACCCAAGCUAGGGUAUAAUAGCGUGAGACAUCUAGUUAUCUGAAUUUGAGAUCUGAAGGCUAGGUAUCCCAUCUUAGUCUCAAGUCCCGUGGUCUCAUAGUGUCCUCUAAUCCGUAGAUAAAUUUAAAAUCCCCUUGGAAAUAACAGCUGACUCCAGAGGACCAUUAUAGUCAAAUGGGGAGCAAAGCUACCACCGUCCAAAGCAAGGUCUGUCCGGGUUGAUAACAUCGGGUAGCUUGGUCCGAACUUGACAUAAAAGCUGAGCAUUACUCCAGCGGUAGGUUGCGCCUCGACUUUGCGACGUCUAUGUAGGACUCAACGUCAACAGGGAUUCCCCUUAGAGUCCAAGUCGCCAUCCUUGUCGGUAUCCAAAGAGGUGGUUGAGUGAAAACAAGACCAGGACAGCUCCUGUGAGGGAAUUAGUGUAUAGGAGGAGGGUCUUCCAUAUCCAGAGUGGCCUCGAUCCAGCAGAUCAAUUAAAGGAGAUGUAACAGUGACAGCUAGUUUAAACAUGCGGUACCAUGUCCCAUCAGGUAGCACCUCCAUCAUGAAAAUUGUGGGAACAGUAAGAUAGUCCUCCUGGACUGCGCAUCCAAGAGAAGCACCGUAGCGGGUUUAGUAUUUGAGAGAGCCGCACUUUCUUUCUUUUUUUUUCAAUGUUUUAUUUUUCAUUUUUCAUGAAAUCAACAUAUAGCAAGGGGGGUACAGAAGGAAAGAGGGGAGGGGGAGGACACCAAUACACAUCACAACAAUCUGUACACGUGCGUUGUUAAUCAGUUUGUACACAAAUUUAGUUAUUAGUAACAGUUUGGCUAUUUGUCCUAUAUACUUCAUAGCGUUGAUAUAACUGUACGUUUUUUUACCUGUUCAUAUUCCUUGACGCUAGCCCUGAUACCUCUUGUCCUAACUGAAUAGUAAGGGAGAUGGGGAGGGAGCGGGGACAGCGUUGAUAUCCUUUGAUAUCUUGUAACAUCUUGUUGUCUUGUAUUGCACUAGAUAUCCCUUUGUAUUAUUCUAGGUAGCCUUUGGUGUUGCAUUAGAUAUCUUAUGACCCUUGUUGUGUCUCACCAUAGCUAUAGUCCACCCAUCUAUGCCACCUUGUGGCAUGUUUGCUUUGUCUAUCAUUUAGUCGGCUUGCCAUGCGUUCAUAUGUAUAUGUUGAGUCUAUUCUACCUAAGAUCUCUGGCAAAGUGGGCGCCUGUGCAGUCUUCCACCUGUGGGCAAUUGCAGUUUUGGUUGCCAUUAAGCAGUGGAUCACUAUGUAGAUCUUAUCCUCAGGAAGGGUAUCUGGGAAGAUGUGCAAUAUAAAGCAUUCUGGUUUCAUUGGUAUCCCGAUCCCUAGGUCUUUGCAUAGAAGUGUUUGUAUGUCCUGCCACAAUGUAGUAAUCUGUGGGCAUGUCCAGAAUAUAUGAUAGAGGAUCCCCUCUUGAUUCUGGCAUCUCCAACAUAAUUUGUUUGUCCCUGGGUAUAUGUGAGCAAGUUUGGUAGGGACUAGGUACCAACACAUAGUUAAUUUACAGAACGUUUCCCACUGGGUGAGGCUAUGGGAGGCCUGUUUUGUUUUCUUUUGAGCGUGGUGCCAUGUUGUUGUUGGGAAUUGUUUCCCUAUAUCCAUUUCCCAUUUCGACAUGUACGGAGGUUUUGCUAUUUUAUUUUGAAGUAAAAGCGUGUUAUAGAGAGCCGCACUUUCUAAUAACAUAAACGGUGUCCAUGCCAGUACCAGGUUGACAGUCUGAGAUGGCCGCACCCUUCAAUAACAUAAUCAGUAUCUAUAUCCAUGUCUGGCUCCGUCUACAAGAUUGGUUCACGCUCAACACCAGCAAUAUGCAUGAAAAUCAGUCUCAGCUCAGUCGCGCCCUCUAACAGUAAAAUUAGUGUCUGGUUAAUAUAUGAGAGGGGUCACCCUCUAAUUAUGUAAGAUAGCCACAAAUGCGGGCUGAGGUUAUGGGAGGACCGCACCCUCCAACCUUAGCAACCAAAGUCCCCCUUCGUCCUAGGGCGACUGUGUGCAAGGGCUCACCCUUUAAUGAUAGUCGAGUAGGGUUGAGGUCCUGAGAGGGGUACCCCUUUGACCAUGCAAUCACUUUCUGUAUCCAUCAUAUGUGAGGUGACCUCAACUGGGAAUAAAAAUACUGACCAAAGGCUUAGAGACAAUUCAGUCUAGGGCAGUGUCCAUGAGACUAAAAGUGGGCAGGCCAAGAAACUGCAAUAGUAAGAAAAAUACAGAAUUUACAAACGUGCGCCGGAUCCAGGAUGGCCGCCGGUAGCCUGAGGAAAUGCUGGAGACGUUCUCCGCGAUCCAUGAGAGCCCACGAGGCCAGAGGAGGCCAAUACAGGCCUCUCAAAGUCCCGAGCAACAGAAAAAUUGGAAGACACGAAAAACAAAGGGAACGACAGAACUAAAGGUCAAGUUCAGAAAUGGAACCUAGGAAAGGUAACAGAACAGACAGGAAAGCCAAGAACAGAUAAACCCAAUAGGAAUAGCAAGGAGUAAGUCUGCCGAAGAAUUAACUACCUAUAUAUCAAAAGAGGAUACAGGAACUGAAGAUAAAGGAUCAACGCUAGAGGCCAAUGGCUUCCCAUGCUCCCAUGAUAGUGGCUGAGCACUGGUCCCUGUAUGUGUUCAUUACAGAACUCUCCUAGAACUAUGCUGGUGAAAACUGUGGCUGCUUACCCAGGGAGAUUCGUAGGAGCCUUGCCCCUCAGGCACAAGGCUCAGGGCCUUCACCCUACCAAUAAUACUUAGGUGUCUGUGUCAGGUCUUUUCUGGUGCGCCAGAGUCUGACUCUACUUGCGUGUGCGGAGUCCCCGUUGUGUCCCUAUAUGAGGCACCCCGUUGUGCUCGUGGCAGUGCUAUCCCGACAGAGGUGGCCACCGCUGCCUAAUCAUUGUCUGUAGGCUUUCUUGGGUCGGGGCGUCUGUAGUGGUUAGACGUCUAACCGUAGUGUGACCCUCGUGGCAGGGAUGACCGGUGUCAUCCCAGAUAGCAUGGUAGUAGUGCCUAUCUGGACAGUAUCCCCGGUAAUAGUCUCCCAGGCCUGCGGCUGAAGAGGGGUUUGGGCACAGACCAGUGCUGGCCCAUCGCUAGGGCACAGACGGAGCAGGCCAAUCAAAUGGGCACAGACAGAGCAGGCCAGUUAAAUAGGCACAGACAUAGCAGGUCAAUCUAAGGGGCACAGAUAUAGCAGGCCAAUCAAUGGGGCACAGAUAUAGCAGGCCAAUCAAUGGGGCACAGACAGAGCAGGUCAAUCAAAGGGGGCACAGACAUAGCAGGCCAAUCAGAGAGUACAGACAUAGCAGGCCAAUCAGACGGCACAGACACAGAAGGCCAAUCAGAGGGCACAGACAUUACAGGCCAAUCACGGGCGCUGUGUAGGCGGUAACAAGGCAGCAAUGUGUGAAACAGAGCCCCAUCCAUAUGUAAUAAACUAUAGGAACCUUGGGGUCAGGUAGCUCCAAAGCAUAGAAAAAACAUCUUGUAUAGUGUGAGUACAUGGUUAGUACUAGGACUUCUAUCAGGUAGUCCCUUAAUGCCUGCCACCAGCUACAGGAAUAUCCAAAUUGUAGGAAACUCAGAGCAGCGCAGGGUGAACUGCCUAUAGACUACUCUCCCACCCAGUAAAAUAUACAAAUAAAUCCACCUAUAGUCUAACUCCUGUAAAAACCUAGUGAGGGAGAAUGAUGGCCAGGAUGAUAGACUAACCCUGAUGCAGGAUGAGGGAGCCCUCAUCCUGCAUCACGGUUAGUCUAUCAUCCGUUUUCUAUGGUUUUCUCAGGCCAAGAGAGUUUACUACUAUCACCACAACUCAGACAACUCAUUGUCUUCAACGAUCCCACAUGUGAAAACACAUAGAUCACUACCUACUGACUCUACCACAUUCUAAAACGAGUCAACAUGCACCACCAGUAGAGAUACCAUAUUAUCCUACCCAAAAUAAAUGGUGCCCGGUUGCGGUUCUAGACUCCUACCUUCAAAACCCCAACUCACAACCAUCACAGCCUUUAUUAGUAUUACAAGGCUCAGUGCUUACUACCUCUACCUUCAUGAAACAUGUCAGGUCUCUGUUAACCCAGCUAGGCUGCAACCCUUCUAACUACUCAGGUCACUCCUUCUGUAUAGGGGCAGCCUCCACAGCCUCCAGUGCCAACAUACCAGUGCACAUUAUCAAAUCACUGGGGCGGUGGGAAUCAUCUGCUUAUACACGGUACAUAGCCAAACCAGUACAAGAGAUAUGAAAUGAAUUUAAGAAAAUGUCUGGUUAAUUUAUAUAUAUUGUUGACUGUAUUAAAUCUUUGAUUGUUCACUUUGCCCCCUUUAUUUACAGGCCUACUGCAUCGUCGGUUCUGGCACACCACAACCGACUUGCUCUUUUAUACUAUCCUACUCUUAUACUUGAUCCUUACUCCUUAUACGGCUAUGUGCCCCUAACACAAGUAUUAAGGCCGUUUGGCCUGUAAUUGUGGGAGGGGCUUAUUAUUUUACUUACCUAUUUAAGGAACACCCCUUCACAUUCUCAACACUUGUUCUCCUUUCUUUUUCUCUUUUCCUUUCUUUUCUUACUCCUUGGCAGGCCCUUUUUAUUUACAGGCCUACCGCAUCGUCGGUUCCGGCACACCACAACUGACUUGCACUUUUAUACUAUCCUACGCUUAUACUUGAUCCUUAUUCCGUAUACGGCUAUGUGCCCUUAACACAAUUAUAUAUAUAUAUAAAUAUAAAGAUAAAAAUAAAUGUAAAAAUGUUUUAAAUUUUUUUAAAUGUAUGUUAUAUAUAUAUAUAUAUAUAUAUAUAUACAUAUAUAUUACUUUGUGCACACACACACACAUAUUAUAUACACAUGUAUUAUAUGUAUAUUUGUGUGUAUAUACUAUAUACAAUGUGUGUGUACUAUAUACAAUAUAUAUAUAUAUAUAUAAUAUAUAUAUAUAUACAUACAAUAUAUAUAUAUAUAUAUAUAUAUAUAUAUAUAUAUAUAUAUAUAUAUAUACACUGCUCAAAAAAAUAAAGAGAACACUUAAACAACACAAUGUAACUCCAAGUCAAUCACACUUCUGUGAAAUCAAACUGUCCACUUAGGAAGCAACACUGAGUGACAAUCAAUUUCACAUGCUGUUGAGCAAAUGGGAUAGACAACAGGUGGAAAUUAUAGGCAAUUAGCAAUACACCCCCAAUAAAGGAGUGGUUCUGCAGGUGGUGACCACAGACCACUUCUCAGUUCCUAUGCUUCCUGGCUAAUGUUUUGGUCACUUCUGAAUGCUGGCGGUGCUUUCACUCUAGUGGUAGCAUGAGACGGAGUCUACAUCCCACACAAGUGGCUCAGGGAAUAAAAGAGGUUUGAUAUAAGAAAUCCUGGGAGUGCUGACACUUUUGUCCUGUAUAUAUAUAUAUAUACAUAUACACACACAUAUACAUAUAAUACGUGUGUAUAUAAUAUGUGUGUGUGUGUGUGUGUGUACAUAUAUAUAUAUAUAUAUAUAUAUAUAUAUACAAAAUACAGAAUCCAGCGCACUCGCUUAUUCACUAAAUAAUGCUUUCAAAAUAUAUAUAUAUACACAUAUACUUUUAUUUCCUAUAUAUGUAUAAUAUAUUAUAAAAUAAUUAAAAAAUGUUAUAAUAUAUUAUACAUAUAUAAUGCUUUAAAUGAUUACAUUAUAAGUGUAUUUUGAGAUAUAUGUGUAUAUAUAUCAAAGUACACUUAUAAUUAAAUCAUAUAUGUGCAUUAUAUAUGUAUAAUAUAUUAUACAAUGUUUUAAUUAUUUUAUAAUAUAUUAUACAUAUAUAGUAUAUGUAUAAUAUAUUUAUUUGAUUAUUUUAUUGUUUUUUACACUUUUGGACUCUGGGAGACUACCUGACAUUAAAAUUCAUGAGCUAUGGAGACACAUGCCUGAAUUGAAUAAAUGCCAUUUAUUCAGCUCAAUAUGAUAAGAUACAUAUUAACCAUCAGGAGUGCCCCUUUCCCCUUUAAUCUUUAUAAUUUCCUUCUCUCCAAGCUAUUAGCGACAAUCCUAAUAAUGGGACAUGAAUAUACAAAUAUAUAAAAUAUACUUUUUUGGGAUUCACAUUGUUAUCCUUCUUUAAUUCUUUUCCUGUAUCCAUGCACCUAGAUAUCUGUCCUCUCUGAUUUGAAUCAAUGUUAAUAUUUCUUAGAUUUUUAUUGUUCCAGCAUUCUGUCAGUUUUUGAUGUUUAUAUGUUUAAUAUUUCCUGGGAUCACAUUUAUUGGCAAGUGAAACAAUCUAUUUUCUAUCUUUUAAGCUUUUUUGAAUCUAUGCCAUGCUUUCAAGAUAUGGCAUAUAACUAAAGAGUUAUCUGGAACAGCUUUAAUGUUUUCAGUUCUACUUGUUGUCCAUAGUAUUACAGAAAUGCUAUCAACUUCUACCAGUUCUGACUAUAUCUGAUACCAGGCUCUUUAUUAUCUUCCCUUUGAGUGGUGAUGGCAUGUGCCAGAAUACAGGCGUUAUAUUUAUAUUCUUCUCUUUUGAACUGCUAAUCCACCCUCUUUUGUUUUCUUUGAUAGUAUUUUUUUAAGUUUAUUCUGGGUUUCUUCCCUUUCCAUAUGAACUUUGAGAAAGCUGUCUGUAUCAUGUUUAACUAUGCUAAGGGAACUUGUACUGGUAUCAUUCUAAAAAUAUAAUUCCACACACCCAUAUCUUCCUCUUUAUUCUACUUCUCUCUUCUCCGGAUCACUUUAUUUCUUCCUUUACACCACCAUCUUUAUUGUCUAGCCUUUCUAAUCCUUCUAAUAUCAUGAGUGUUUUUCCCCUUUUACCUCCCUCCCUCCUCCCACCCUCUCUCUUAUCGUGCAACUAAAUUAAACCAAUAGUGUACUAUAUUAGUGCAAAAUGUUCCUUUCUAAGUCCUAAUAUACCCUCUAAGUGCUAUUGUGUCUGGAAUUGACUCCACCUACUUGUAUUUUCCAAAAAUUAGUUGAAACUUAAUUCAGCCCAUUAUUAACUAUUUUUACAAAUAUUCUAUUACCUUUCAGUGUGUAAGAAAAUAGAACAAAAGGGGUGGAGAGGUGCAAAAAAAAAAAUUGAAGCUCUACACUCUUCUUAAACCCCAAUUUGACCUAUAUUUCAUGUCCGUGCUCGCUAUUAUACACACGUCAUAAGUACAUUUCAGAUACCGUUAUCAACUUUGCUUGUGGAUUUUACUUAAUUUACUAUAUAUAAUUAUCUUAUAUUUUAAUAUGUUUCUCCCCCUCUUUCCUAUUACCCUAUCCCAAUCCUCAAUCAUGACUUAUUUUCCACUCUGCAGCCUUUUUUCCAACCAUUUUGUUAUUUUCUCAAGUGAGUCAAAAUAUUCAGUCAUCCCAUCCACAGUUACUAUGAGUUUGGUUGAAAAAACCCACCUAUAUUUUAUAUUGUUUUCCCUUAUGCGAGCUAUAGCUGGCAUAAACUGUUUUCUAGCUUUUCUUGUCUGGAAAGAAAAAAUACAGGAAAAAAUUUAAUGUCCUUAAAUUUCCCCUCUUUUAUUACUUCUUGCCUUACAGCUCUUUGGGUUUUCUUUCUGAAGGUAUAGGAAUGACAGCAGAUAAUUAUAACUCUUGGUAUCUCCUCAGGUAAACUUCUAGGUUUAGCUGUUCGAUGAAAUCUUUCAAGAAAAUCCACUUUGUCAUCUAUACUGACUUUUAGGGCGCUGAAGAAUUCGAAUAGAUACAUUUCCAUUUUAUCUUGGGCAAUAAGCUCCAGGAUGUUCCUUAUUCUCAGAUUAUUUUGUCUGCCUCUGUCUUCAAUGUCAGUAUUUAUUUCUUCUAACUCCAGUAGUUUUCUUUGCUGUUUGUCGAUUAUUUCUUUCUGUGUUGCUGCUGUGAUUUCUAAAUUUUUAAUUUUUUCUUCAUUUAUUUUGACUUUUUGUCCAAUCUUCAACAAAUCUUUUUUCAGGACAGCAUAAUUGCCCUAUAUUUCUUGUUUUAUCUGUUCCAGUUGCAUCACUAGAUACUCCCUUAAAAAUUCAGGGGUUACCAUUUGUUAUUCCAUUGGAUCCUCCUUUUCUGUACUUUUGUUUAUAUCUCGCUUUUCUUUAAUUAGUGCGACUUUACUUUGGAGUCCUUAACUAUGAGUUUUCUGUAAUGCUUUUAUCUGCCUGUGGCAGGAAAAAGUAUGCAAUUCUCUGAUAGUGAGGAAUUUUCUCUGUCAGGAAUUUCCCCUUGCCAUGGUCUUUUGUAUCAAUUUGCAACUCUCCGUAUUUCUCCUUGUCCCCAAACCAUAUAGUGAGGAGCUCCGAAUGAACCAGACAAGAGAAUGCACGGUUCAAAGUGACUUCUAACAUUUAAUAGACUGUGUAACAGGUUAUGUUCAAGAGGAAACAAGAGUGGUCUUAAAAGCAUUAACCAAUCCUAACAAAAUCCUCUAUCUUGUCUUAACAUCUUAACCUAUAGCAAGCUUGCAGAUGUAUCUUCAUGUUUAGGCCUUUCACUAUAAUUAUGCACUUAAAAUUAAUAUGUAUACGCACUUAGAAUUAAUAUGCAUUUACUACGCAGUUCUAAAUCACACAUUACUAAGCUGUUAUGAUCAAAGUGAGAAACACAGGAAAAAAGGCCAACAGCAGAAACAUACAGGAUAUAACACUUGUUACACAAUGUUCUAUAUCUCUUGUCUAGGGGUAUAUUCAAUAAGCAUUGGAUAUAGACAAAGUAUAUUAUUUCAAAUAGUUGACAUGCUCCAAGUUAGCCAAUUUUAAACAGAAUGAACAUCAUGUCAUCUGUAGCUUGAGCCUUGGGUCAGUAUAGGCAAAGUGUAUUAUUCCCAACAGUCUUUUAUCUUGUUUGUCUUUCUUUUCUCUUAAUAUUUUGAUCCUGUUGUUCUUGCUCCGCAGGUUUUCUGUAGGUCAUUUCAGGCAUUUUCUUGCUAUUUCCUAUAUACUUGGCUUAUUGCCUGGUAGAUGAGAUAAAGAUAAAUCCAAGCCCUUUUACUUGGAUUUAGGGGUAUUAAUUUGGCAGUAUGCGCUUGUUCAGCUCACUCUUUUGGUUAAAGGGACACUAUAGUCCCCAGAACAACUACAGCUUAUUGAAUUUGUUCUGGUGAGUAGAAUCAUUACCUUCAAGCUUUUUGCUGUAAACACUGUCUUUUCUGAGUAAAUGAAGUGUUUACAUUACAGCCUAGUGAUAACUUCACUGACCACUCCUCAGAUGGUUGUUAGAGAUCCUUCCUGGGUCAUGGCUGCCUAAAACAGAUCCAAACAUUCAGUAUCUCCUCCCUCUGCAUGCAGACACUGAACUUUCCUCAUAGAGAUUCAUUGAUUCAAUUCAUCUCUAUAAGGAGAUGUUGAUUGGCCAGGGCUGUGUUUGAAUCAUGCUGGCUCUGCCCCUGAUCUGCCUCUUUGUCAGUCUCAGCCAAUCCUAUGGGGAAGCAUUGUGAUUGGAUCAGGCUACCACUUCUGAUGUCAGCAGACUGUUUGUUUUAAUGAGUCAAACAGCAUGCAGAUUUACAGCUUCAGGCUUGAAUACAGUAAGAUUUUGCUAUAUUUACGGAGGCAUGAGGGGGGCUAGAUGGUGGUUUUAACCCUAUAGGAUCAGGAAUACAUGUUUGUGUUCCUGACCCUAUAGUGAUCCUUUAAACAGCUGUAGUUUUAACUGAGCUGCUAUUUUGUUUUUUGUUAACACUUUUUCAGAUCUAUUCCCCCUCUCUUUUCUUCCUCUCCUCUUAAAGUCGUAUUAUCUGUUGUGUUGUCUCAGGCUAGAGUGAUUUCCUCUGAAAGAGGAUUCUCAGUCCAAACACUUAUUUGGUUUAGUUCUGCCUCAUUCACUAAACAGCAACUGUAUUCCUUUCAGUGCUUUUUAAGUUUGUUCUUCUCUUUAUGCAGAGAUUUAAUAAAUGGUUGGGCUUGUAUCUUCUUAUUUGUACCUGUGUAGAGUAGUAUUAACAAAUAGUAACCACAAAGCCCUUGCCAGUACUCACAUGUUCUGCCCAGUAUUCUGUCAGUAUCUGCAUCAUACAAUCUCUGAUAGUUUGUCUCCAAUAUCCAGGCUCAAUUAUCUGCCGUUAUCGCUUUGCACCAGUUCUCCUUAUGAAGUUGUCCCUUUAAUGCAACUGCUUCAUUUAAUCCUACCCUUCAGUUCAUUCCCUGGUUUGGUCCUUAAUCUCCCUCUUUCACCAUAUGGCAGAGCUAACUGCUACUCUUUUCCCUCAGAGCAUGGGAAAACAAAUUUCAAUGUCGGGCAUCUCAGUGUCUCGGCAUUGGGUACCGUUUCUUAGCUCAUCCACGUAACGUGCAUGCUAAUGUGCAAUGUCACGUCGCCAUCCCGCCCCUGAGCAGAGAUGUUUUCUAUUGUGAGCCAUCAUUCUUGGGUUAGCACAAAUAACAUGGCAACUCUCAUCUGAGCACUUUAAAGAAGAUGGUGGGUAUGUGCAAAAGGAACCAUAAAAUGUCUGCAAAUACAUUAUUUCCUACAUAAAAAUUGGUGGGGCACUGCUCCAAUUUCCCCCAAUUGACAAGCCACCACUGGUUGCUGCACUUACCUCUAAAAAGCACUGUACUCAUUUAUUCUUCUUAUAGCUACAAUCCUGCUAUGUUGUUAUCUGUUUUAUCUUGCAGAACAUGUUAAUUAUUUGUUUGUUUAGAUUUAUUGCACAUCUGCAUUUUACAUCUAAUGUCUGUUAUGGUUUGUUUUUGCAAUAAAAUACAUAAUUUAACUUUUGAUUUAGAUAUAUUUUAAAUGUUAUGUUGUCUUAUAUUCCAUGUUCCCUCUUUUUUUCAUGUUUAUUUAAUAAUAAUCAAAUACUUUUUGAACAUAUAGAAUAGUGCUUUUGCUAUGUUCUAGACUACUUAUAGAGAUGCAUUGUUUUUUACAGUACAUGCUUUGAAAACCAGUGGAUAUGUACUCAACAUAUUUGUCUUGUAGAAACUGAUCUAAUUGAAGACAUUAAUUCUGAAGAAUGUGGGUAAGUUAAAAAAACAAACAUAUGUACUGUCAGCCCUUUUUAUGUAUUUUCUGAAUUCCAUUUCAAACUGAAAAUAUUGCAUUUCAUUAGCCUAAUAUAUUUUCAACAUAAUCAACUAUGUGAAUAACUUUAUGCUACUAUGAUGGUACCUGGAUGCCAAACCUGGAUGCUUUUUCAUGACUACAAGUACAGCAUAUAGUAAAUAAAAUACAUCAAGAAAUAUGCUGUUUGGCUAUUCAAAAUUAUUUUAUAGUAAAAUAUAAUCUUAAAAAAUAAUAAUUCAAUAUGGUGUUUAUUGACACUGUGCCCCCUUUAAAUGAAAAAAAUAUUUAAAUAAUUGGGGGUGGAUCCUGAUCUGCAAGCUGACCAGAUGCAUGUUAACAUGGGUCCUAUAUUUUCUGCAGAUUUUCUGGCAAUAUUUCCAGAUACCGAGCUAGUACUUUUUCCAAAGUAUAUAUAGUAAGGGAAACAAAAACAAUUCACACCCUUACACCACAAAUAGUGUUCUGUGGAGACAAAAAAAAUAAACUUUACUUAUAAAUAACAGCUUCCCAGGGUAACCUUCCCAGAUAGUUACCACAACAACAAGGUAUGUAUGUAGAAAAAGAGAUGUGAUACAGCUGUAGAACCUGAAAUAAACAUAUCAACAGAACAUGUAAUAGUGUAAUAUUGCCACAAAUUAGUAAAGCGACACAUUGCUUAGAUUGCACUCACAUAAGUUGUAGUAAAAUUCUCCUUAAGGGUCUAUCCCUUAAUGGUAGUGGGGGCUGCACAGACCUCCUCACUUUCACUGAUGCUUCAAAUGAUCUCAUACCGCCACAACAACCAAUACAAGUGUAUCAGAGUACACAACAUAACAGAAUGUGUAAAACACACAGGUGCUGUCUAGAAUGUAACUUUGUGCGGCAACAAGUGGGCAUGGCACUUUUUGUAAUUAUGAGAAAUUCAGGCUAGGCAUAUAUGUCACACGCUGAAUAAAAUGAUGGAACAUUAAAACAAUGCAAGACAUGUUAGUUACUCUCAGGUAGCUAGGUUUGAAAGAACCAAGGUUCAAUUUAGAUCGAGCAUAUUUGCGAGGAUAAUUUAACAUGACAAGCUAGACAUAAGGGUGAGGGAGAUUCAGGCUAAGCAUACUUGUCACAUGCUGAAUAUAAUGUUUAAACACCAUGGUAUGAUAUAUUAAUUGCUCUCAGGUAUUUAGAUUUGAGAGAUCCAGGGUUCGAUUGAUAUCUAGCACUUUUCAUGCAAGGACAAUAAAACAUAACAAGCUAUACUAAAGAUUGCAUGCUUAGGUGCUCCCUUGUUCUUCCUGUCACUUCGUUCUUAACCUUUAUGACUAACACAGCUGUGACGAAGUGCCCUUAGCCACUUGGUCCUGGAGAGGCCUACUUGCCAGCCUCCUCCCCUGUGACUAUGACUCUUUCAUGUAUCUGGCUUUAAAGCCCCUAGUCUACCUUCAGACAGACUAUUUAUGUAGGCUGCUUUAUUUAUCUUGUGUUUUAGUCACCCUGUACCCAUUAUAGGUGCAGGGUGUGUGUAAUGUAAUUGUUUAUAGUGUGUGUACUGUGUAAUGUAUUGCCUGCUCUCUUGUAUUGCUGAGGUUUGCUACCAACUAGGUGGGUUUGGCUAUGGAGCUUGUCUAGUGCCCUCUGUUGGUAGCAACAGCAAUAUGCACUACCUGAAUUGCAAGACUGGUUCAUUUGCAUAUUCAGGUAGAUUUGCAUAUUGCUAAUUCUGCAGGCAGGUGAGACAUUUACUGUUAAAUAUUGUCUCCCCCACCCCUUUAAAAAUGUGCCAUUGUGUUGUGAUAAGUCACUGUGUGUUGCUUGAUAUGGUUUGACUGUUUGUGAUUUUAGUGAGGUUUCACAACAAUGUUAUUGUGGUGACCCUAUUGGCUGGUCCCAAGGGAAAUAAAGGUUUUGACAGUUCUUCUUGAUCCCUCUAAACGUAGCCUUGUCUCGUUAUUGGAGGGAGCUGUUAUAAUCACACUGGGGAUUGCUAUGCUCUGCAUGCUCCCCUGAACUUGAGUCACUUAGCUCUUUUAAGAGCUUGUUCCUGACACGCUCUCCUUGGAGGAGGGGUCUUCACCACACAGUCCUGGAGGACAGAAGCUGAUCCAGGGUGGAAGGAAGACGGCGAGACUCCAGUCAAGAUACGGCGGUUGCGAAGUCUGCGGUGGUUGUGGUGUCUGCUGCAGUGCUUGGAUGUCCUCAGGAAGCGCUAGGAGCAUCCAUCAACGGAGGGUACUCGGUCGGAGUACAAGGAGCUCCGUUACAACAGCCUCCUAAGUUAAGGAUUGUUUGACAUUAAAUGUAAGUUAAAGAAAAUAUAUACAUUAUACAAUAUGUAUGUAAUAUGUGUAUGAAAUAUGUUUAGAACACAAUUCUAAGAGCACAACGUUUUGUUCCCCCUACCUCAUCUAUUAAUAAAGCCAUAUGUACCUUCACCAUCACACACUUUAAAAAGAAAUGGUGAGUAAACGUGUCUUUAAAAUAUGUUGUGGAACAUGCAUAAUUAAGCUUAGCUAGUUGAAGCUUUCAGUGUGUAUGGCUUUCAGGAUCAUAUAUAGCCGUAAAAAAUAAUGUUUGAAAGUGCUGAAAAAUAAAAAUGCUUGCCAAGUUAAACUUCCGAAAUUAAAAUACAGAAAACUAAAAUAUAUUUCAGUUUAACAUUGUUACCCAUUAUUAUUAUUAUUAUUAUUAUUAUUAUUAUUAUUAUUGCUAUUUAUAUAGUGCCAACAGAUUCCGUAGCGCUGUACAAUAUUAUGAGAGGUGGGAUUUAACUAUAAAUAGGACAAUUACAAAAAAACUUACAGGAACUAUAGUUGAAGAGGACCCAGCUCAAACAAGCUUACAGUCUAUUGGAGGUGGGGUAUAAAACACAUUUGGAUAGGAAAUAGCAAUCAAAUCAGGUGGGAGUGAAGCAGAGCUGGAGGAGAGAGUAAAGUGCUGCCCUUUAGGAGAGAGCCAGUUAUGUGAGGUAGAGGUUACUCUGGGAGGCCAUAAACUUUCCUAAAGAGAUUGGUUUUUAAGGCACUUCUUAAAUGUUGAAACAAAUCUAAAAAGAACAUAAAAAUAUAUAUAUAGUGAAAUACAAUUAACACAAUCAAUCAUGUGCUAUACAUGAAUGCACUCACAAGAAUGCGCAGAAUGCCUCCCCUGAUGUGGUGGGGGGCGAGUGGUCCCCUUCUUUGUUGUGAGGUAGCCAAUGGUACUCAGGACUUCAGAUGGGUGAAGAUAGUUGUUUUAUUGAUAUAAAAGGUGAACAAUCACCAUAAGCGUAAGAUAAAAUAGAAAAAAAAGGUUGGUCCUACUCGUUUCAUUCCGUGAGGAACUUCAUCAGGGACUGUAAUACCAAAUAAAAUCAAUUACAAUAUUACAGAAUGUAAAAAACAUAUCCUACUUCCCCCAUUUCCAAGUCCCUUUAAAUAGGGCUAGUCCCAUUGUCCAUUGGUGGAUCCGUGGGUGGUUCCAAUCUUCUAUAACGUCAUUGGUUCGGAGAGAAGUCUCCUCAGGUGUUUGCAAUCCCUUCAUUGUAAUCAAAUUUGGUGACUCCGGGUAGACUGAACCGGAAAUACACAUGGUUCAAUACUUCCGCGUUCCAAGUGCGUUCCACCUGCGUUCCAUCUGCGUUCCACUUCAAUUGCAUUGAAUUAGAAGGUGUUUAACCCUCUUCUAUAGUGUUAUAAUCGGUUAGAGAAGGGCAUUGCAACAUAUGUACAUCUACUAGAAAGAAAAAGUUAUUAAUGACCAUAUAAAGAUCAAAAUUCUUAUAGUUUUAUAAUAAAAUACAAAAUGUAUGUUCGUUCUAUGUGAUAAGUUAUACAAUGAUUUUUUAAAACACAUUAUGAAGUGGAAUGAUCAUCAGUAAUUUUAAAGUGACAAGUGCUGAAAAAUUAAUACCAAAUAAUAAUAAUAAACAUAUCAACAGAAAUAUGUUCUCAAAAUAAAUUAAAAAAUCUCCCAAAAUUAUUGGAGUAGCACACAUACCCAUGUCCAGAGCAAAAAAAGGAGGACAUUCUUAUAUAUAUAAAUGGGAAAGAAAUGGUCGAAAAUCAGAUGACUUUCCCUUAAGAGUAAAGUUUAAAGGGACACUAUAGUCACCUGAACAACGUUAGCUUAAUGAAGCAGUUUUGGUGUAUAAAACAUGCCCCUGCAGCCUUACUGCUCAAUCCUCUGCCAUUUUGGGAUAAUUUCUUAACCCUAUGACCCCAUGCCAAAAAAGGUAGAACUUUUUCAAUGCCCAUACACUUAAAAUCCCUAAAAGUGAAAGAGGGACAAUUGGAACAGUGGGCUGGAACAGAAUGGGUGGUCAAUUUAUUUUUGAUGUUAUUCAGAUGUUCAAGUAUUCUGACUUUCAAAGCUCCUUUGGUACGGCCUACAUAUUGUUUGUCACAUGGACACUGCAGUAAAUAAACUACAUGGUCCGUGUGGCAACUUAUCUCCGACUUAACUUUGAACACCUCUCUUGCUACAAUACUACAAAAUUCCACAGUUUUUUCCAUAGAUGUUGUAAUAUAGGCUUUACAAGAACCACAGCCCCUAAAGAAACCAGAAUCUACCAGGGUGUAAGUUUUAUUUUGUUUAAUAGCACAGCUAGAGGCUAGCAUGUUUUUGAAGUUUUUGAUCUUUUUAUAGAUCACCAUAGGGCGAUCUGAUAAAGAUGUUCCCAGAACCAGGUCUUGUAAUAGAAUGGGCCAGAAAUUAUGUAAACUUCUUUUAAUCUUAUGGUGAUCAGUAUUGUAUUAUGAAAGCAGAUUUAAAAUUAGUAUCAGCAAUGUGCAAAAUCGGGUUGUCCUCUAACAACAUGUUACAUUCCAACAAGCCAAUGGAACGAUUUUCCAUUUCUAAUGUAUUUUUGUUGUAACCUUUGUCGUGGAGUUUAUUUUUAAUAUGUGAGGAUUGAGUUUUGAAAUCCUGAAAAUGAGAGAAAUUCCACCUUAGGCGGGUAAAUUGGUUUUUGGCUAUACCCUUCAGCCAUGGUUUGUAGGGACAGCUUUGUUGCUGUACAAAGCCGUUGCAAUCAGUUGGCUUGAAAAAACACUUUGAAUGGAUCCGACCCCUAUCACAAAAUAGAGCAAGAUCCAAAAAAUGGAUUUCAUUUUUGUUCCAUUCUGGGGUAAAAAACAAAUUAUAUAGAUUAGAAUUAAGAUACUGAACAUAAUCCUUAAAAGUAGCUGAAGAUCCUCUCCAAAUAAUAAUAACGUCAUCAAUAUACAGCCACUAUAGCACCAGGUUCUCCCUCCAGUCAUGCCCCGACCACACAACCAAUUCCUCCCAUCUUCUCAUGUAGGUGGGGGCGAACCUGGUAGGAAUGUAGGUGCCGCAAGUGAUUUGGGCAGAUAGAUCGUCUCCAUUGUAACGUGUUCCUGGUCAAGUCCUGAAAGAAAGACAGAUGUAUGGACUCAAACUCAUAGGGUGUUUUACACCGUACUGCAGAAAGGAUGCAUUUUUUUUAUCUGUGAGAGAUUGGCAUCUGAUGAUUACAGGGGGGGCCUGCGCUGAUUUAUUGAUCUGGAAAAAUCCAUUAAACCCAACCGUUUAGCUUGAUUAGGAGGUAGUAACUCUACCAUGAGGCAUCUGAGAUAAUGUGGGAGCUCGUUCAAGUCUAAUUUUAAGGUUGGCCCACCUGCUGUAGUCUUCAAUUAAGUCCAGUUUUAGAGCUACAGUUGCUUGUGCGGACUGUACCUGAUAUAAGAUUUCACGCAUACUUGACACUUUGCAUCGUGUGUCUUGGUUAUCUUCUUCUGAAGCCUGAAUGCGUGUGGUCACCCCCUGCACUUCCACCUUAAUCAGAUCUAGAUUUGCUAUAAAUAUUUGCCACAUGUUAAGUAGAAGACCUUGAAUGUAGAAGAUCUUGAAUGCCCUGCUUUGUUGCAGGUGCUUGAGCAUCUCUGAGUACUGUCUCCACCAAGGUGACUGUUUGUGUUUGGUCCAUGCACUCUCCCUGCUGAAUAUCAGAGCAUGUGGAGCCCGCUUCAGAGUCAGGUAUGUCAGCCAUCUUGUGGGCCGCAGAGUGUAAAUCUGUAAAUAAUAUUCACCAUUAAAAAAGAAAUAAUUGUAAUCUAAAAUAAAUGUAACUAAAGAUAAAACAAACUCUUUUUGACCCACAGACAACGUAUUGUCCUUGGUCAUGUAAUAGUUAAUUGCCUCUAAUCCCAAUCUGUGACUAAUCAUGGUAUACAGAGAGGUCACAUUUAGUGUGGCCCAGCUGUAUUCCGGAUCCCACUCAAUGCUCUCCAGCUCCUGUAAAAAGGAUUUGGUGUCUCGAACAUAUGAAGGUGCCCCCUGUGCAUACUUCUGUAAAAAGGAGUCGGCAUAAGCAGAUAAGUUAGCAGUUAAUGAAUUGACACCGCUAGUGAUGGUACGGCCUGGUGGAUUAGGGAGACGUUUGUGAGUUUUAGGAAGAAAAUAAAAAAUGGGGAUAACAUUCAAAUAUCUUUUGUGAAAUGAUCUCGUUAUUUUUAGCUUCUUCCAAAAUCGUCCUAAGUUCGAAUUAAAAUGGACGGUAGGAUUAUUGGAAAGAAUAAUGUAUGUUUUCUUAUCUCCCAAAAUGUUAGAUGAUUUUUCCAAAUAAUAUGAGGUGGUCAUCAACACUAUGCCACCCCCUUUAUCUGCUUCCCUGGUUUCCAGAGUAUCACGUUCCAUUAAGUUCUUGAGAACUCUCUCUUCCCUCUUGGUAAAGUUUAUUAUCUUUUUUAGUAAAGGCUUGAAAUGUCUGGUCAACCAUAUGCUCAAAAGUUUCUAAAAAAAAAAGGCCCUUGCUCUGAAUUGGAAAAAAAUGUGAUCGUGGUUGAAAUUUUUAAUUAGUUUUUGUCUGUACAGCAUUGAUGGUGGUGUCUGGAGAUGAUGGAUGUAGGAGAAAGUGUCUCUUAAUAGUCAAAGAUCUAAUAUCUUUAUCUAUAUAAAGAUUGAAAUUGUUAGCUGUUUUAUUAGGGGCAAAUUUCAUUCCCUUAGGUAAUAGAUUGAUCUUGUCUGUCAAUAGAAUCUCUGUUAAAUUAAAGAUACCAUUAUCUGUCUCCUUUUUCCUUAGUGAAUAUGUGGCCUGUGGUGUCUUAAUUAGUCCUCCAUCCUCACCCUCUUCUACGGGGAGUCCUGAUGUAGAGAGGAAAAUCUGUUGGGGUUUUCCCAAGUUUCCGUCCUGGGGCAGAAAUAGUUGGUUUUAGAUUUUUCCUUUGGAUCCCUGGGUCUCCCCUGAAAAUUUAUUUCCCGAUCAUUGUAUUGGGUGGUGUUUCCAUGUGCCUCUAUUCUAUUUCGUGUAACCUGGGCAUAGGACCUCAUAUCACCUCCAUUGUCGAGAGAUGUUCUCCUAGAUUCUCUAUUUGGUGUCCUAUAGUGAUUUUUUGGGUUAUCAUAGUGAUAGAACAAUUGUGGGAAUUUCGUCCCAUUCUUGUAGGAAAAGGUCAUCCCAAAUGCCUGUCAUGCGGUAAAACUUCCGGGUUCGGCACACCGCUAUGCGGAGCUGGACCCCGCCCCCCUCUGACGCGGCUCUGACAGUAUUUAGGGAGACCACGCCAGAGAGAGGGUGCUUGGUGAUACUGGGAGCUACUUCCUUCCAGACUUACCUCUCCACAGGUUCUGGCAAUGUGGGUCUGAUUUCUGAGUGUACACGCCGGCUCCUGGGACACACCGGCUCUACAAGCUCUGAUGUUGUCUUAGCCAUCGGGUUAAGACAAGUAUGCUUCAUGAUAUAGAGGAAUGCUGAAGAACGGAAACUCACUUUACAAGUGGACCUUAUCUCUUUACUAUGGGAGGACUACUAACCUUAAGUAUAUCUCUCAUCUAAUUAUCUUCAAUCUCAUUUAAUAAUGAACUUAUGCUACAAUCUCAUUUAAUAAUGAACUAAUUCUUGCUUACUCAAAUCUUCACUACUACAAGCUACUAACUAUUUGGAGGACAACUCUCAUCAUGCUUAUUCACUAUGCUUAUUCACUAUGAACUAUUUCUUGCUUUGCAAUUACACUCAGUGCUUCAAGCUACUAAUUAUAUGGAGGACAACUCCCAUCAUGCUUAUUAACUAUGAACUGUUCCUGCUUUGCAACUAUUCUCAGCUACUUGCUUAAUAUUACUAGUGAAGAUUAUUCUCAUUAACCAAAGAAAGUUACUUAAUGCAUCUCUGAGGAAAUACUUAUUAAUGAACUUUGUGUUGUUGAUUACUUAUACUUCUUAUUGGAUUAUUGCCUAAAUGCAAUUCAUUUAAGUUUAACACUUAUUAAAACUUUGUUUGAAUCAAGUUACCAGCGAUUCCCUCUUUUCUUAAAGCUACAGUAUUGAUACUUUAAAGUUUCUCCGUAUCUUCACUAAUGUAAUUAGGGAGGUUUACAAGCUGCAGUUGAGUUCCAAUCCAAUUCACCCAAGUAGCGUAACAAUACCAGGAUUUUAUCUAUCCUUAAACCCCAUGGUAUAAGACACUCCUUAAGAUAGUUUUCUAAAUAAGCUACCUCCCACCAUUUUUUUGUCUCAGCGGUUAGUAGUUUUUCUUUUUUUUUUAAAGUCGUCCAAACCCUUAAAUGGUUGUGGUUUGUCCCAUUCUUGGACCAUGGCCUCAAAUUUCCUUCUAUGAUGAGAUUGUAAAUUAGACAGGAAAUUGAAAUUGACACUAGCCCCCCACCACAUCAGGGGAGGCACCUUAUGAGCAUUUCAUUCUGCACAAUCUCAUGAGUGCAUUCAUGUACAGCGCAUGAUUGAUUGUGUUAAUUGUACUUCACUAUAUAUAUUUUUUAUGUUCUUUUUAGAUUUGUUUCAGCCGUAUCACGCAUAUUUGUUUUUGGUUCUCUAUAUAUUGUAAAGGUCUUUUUCUUUGGGUAGCGACCUUGGGAGGCUGUACCUUAACUUUAAGCUAAGGAUUUUUAUACUUGAUAUUCCACUACAAUUACUUAACACUGUGGUGUACAUACUGUUUUUUCUGUUGACUUCUUAAGUGUUAGAAGACUAGGGUAGUGUCUGAUGGCGUUAGGCAGGCUAUUCCAUAGGAAGGAAGCCGCCUACGAAAAAUCCUGCAAGCGUGAGUUGGCCGUACGGGUGCGAGUAGCGGACAUGAGAAGGUCACGGGAAGAGCGGAGAGACCGAGAAGGGACAUACCUAUGGAUCUGUGAAUAGAUAUAAGAGGGGCUAGAAUUGUUCAGUGCUUUAUAGGUAUGGGUUAGCACUUUGAAUUGACUCCUGUAUGAUAAAGGAAGCCAAUGUAAGGACUUACAGAGGGGUGUGGUGUGAGAGGACCGACUAGAGAGGAAAAUCAGUCUGGCAGCAGCAUUCAUUACAGACUGUAGCAGGGCAAAAUGGCUUCUGAGAAGACCAAUUAGGAGAUAGUCACAGUAAUCCAUGUAGGAAAUUACUGGAGCAUGGACAAGCUCUUUGGUAGCAUCUUGUUUAAGAAAGGGGCAGAUUAACCUUUUAGGUUAAUAUUAUUUCCUUAUUUUAUAUCCGAUAAGAUAUUCUGAUCAACAAUGAAAAUUUGUGUUAUUUAGUGUUGUUUUUCUACAAUUCAAAUUAAGACAGGAACAUUUCGUAGUAAUAUGUAAAGAGAACCUUGGAAUCAGUGGUGGUAAAAAGGUAGAUCCAAGGAUUGUUUUAAACUAUAGCUUCCAUGAUGCUUCAUCAUUCUAAAAGCAUUCAAAGGUAUACCACGCAUCUUAGGAGUUGUAGUUCUACAAUAACUGGGGAUCUACAUUUUGGACAUCCCUGCUUUAAAUAAAUAACUUCUGCACUCAUCAAAUAGAGGUUAUACUUCUUUUCUUUAAAAACAUGUAUAUGAAAACAUUCAAACAUUUAAUUAAUACUGCAUUUAAAAUAUUGCUUUUAUUAUUACUGAUAUAUUAUAACUUUUAUGUUAUUUAACCCUUUAAGGACGGCGGGCGUGCCAUCCUUGGGGACCCGGCUCUAAACGUAGGCGUGCCAUGACAGUGCCACUUUAAUGCUUAGACUUCCUUUAUUGCAAAUUCUGUUUAGAAUUUAUAAUCUCCAGAUCUGUUAAUAGCUUGCUGUCCCCUGCUAGGAGCCUCCUUCAUGUAACUAAAGAUCUGUUUACAGAGCAGGAGAUAAAAGCAUUUCAAAUAAGUUACAUCUGAAAGAAAAUUAAACCAAUUUGUUUUCAUGCAAAAGUUAUUGAUCUCAUAAAUGAUUGUUUUGGUGAAUGUAGUGUCCCUUUAAAAUUGUGUAAAUUUGUAUCUCUAUAUCCAAGUACAGCAUUCUCAAUACAAAAUAUCUAUUUUAUCCUAUGUUUAUAUGUUAAUUAGGCAUCCAAUUUAUUUAAAUCAGGGUAACGCUAAUAUUUUUUACCAAAAAUAACUUGUAACAGUGAUGUGGUUAAUGUCAUAUUUUUGGUUGCAUAGAUGGAAAGCAGACAAUCACAGUGAUUUCUGGGGGAUGACCUUAAGUGAAGGAUUUGACUAUCGCCUGGGUACUUCAUCUCCUUCCCCUGCUUUACUCAGC